GUCCCUCCGAUCUCGGCCGUACACUAACGCCCCCAUUUGUCACGCUAAAAGGAUAAUAUAAUUUAGACCCACAAAAAUUCUUUUACCCUUUGUCCCUCGCACCCACGUCGCCAAUCCAGCUCCUGAUGUUGCAGACCAGUGGGGCCUCCAGUGUAAAAGAAGGGUAGGAUCCGUGUGUGUAUAGGUUUCUAGUACGUAGCGAAGGAUUGUUUGUGGACGACACGUAAGCGAUGCCGCGGACUCCUCCAUGCGCAACAAACCGAUUUGAAUCCGCCGGACAGGUCCGUCACCCGACCAAACCUUUCGGCUCUUCCCCACCCCUUCAUCAAACAGAGCUCGCGCAUCUCGACCGCGGACGGUGACAAGCGGCGGCGAUCUCUUCCCUUCGGUUUCGCAUCGAUUGAUCACCUCGAUCCAUAACGGGUCGCUCCGCCGACACGUGGUUUCCGGCCCGAAUUUUUUUGAUAGUCUUAGGCUGGCAUCUUUGGCGAUUAUGCUCGCGUUUGCGCUUCUUCUUUGAUCCAGAGAUCUGCCGGUGUGGUUCUCGGUUGAGUGAAUUCUGUGAAAUCUUGGCCCCCGGCAUCUAGUUUUAGUUAAUUGUGACGGCGGCUGCGGUUUUCUUGGUGCGUGGAGGGUCUUCGAUCGAUGGAUUUCGUCGCGAGUUGUCGGGUAUCUUCUCUUUCCUUUCAUGCUUUCUGAAUUUCGUUUCCUAUUUACUACGUUAUCAUUAAACUAUAAGUUGGGAUUGAGAUUUUAUCGUGAUGAUUAUUAGAGUUAGGUAGUAGAAGUAUUGGGAUUGAAUUUGUCUUUUCCUGAGGAAAACUUUGGAGUUAUGAACUGAUAUUGGUUACUUAAUGUUCUUUUUGGCUAAUUGAAAUAUUGCCUGAAGUGUCUUUUUGAAUUUGCUGGUCCCUUUUGAGUGCUUCGACAGAUGAUCAUUAGGUAUCUUUUCUGUCCUUUAUGUAUUAGCCACUGAAAUCACUCGAAUAGUUCUAGCUGAUUCAGAUGAUUAAUUCUGUAAGCCAAACUAGAGUAUGUUAUCUUUUUUUUAGUCACCUUCAGUAGCAAAGUCGUCUGUGUUAUUUUCUCUUGUGAGACAAUCACCAUAUGUAAAUCUUAGAUGCUGCUUAAUUACCAAUUCCAACUUUUAAAGUGCGAAGCAAUAUUUCCAUGAUGCUUGCAACAGUAUACUCUUGUCCGUUUGCCAGGGAAUCUCAUCACUAUUUCAAAUUUCUGAAUCUUGUUAGUUUGCUAGUUAAAUGGUUAAGUUACUGGAUCAUUUAUUUAUUAUGUCGGUUCAUGUACUUAUCAUUAUAAUACUUGCAACAAGCACUUGUUAUUGACAUUGUAGUUAUGUUACAGGAUGACAGCCCCUGUUAUCCAUUCUGCAUUUGUUACUGGCUGUCACAUAGUUGCCUGGGCUAGAGCCUAGGCAGUAGACAAGUCUCAGAACACAUUAGAUACACUGAUCUGUCUUAUGUAUUAAAAACUAUCUGUACAUGCAAUCAGACAUAAGCAUAUUUGAGUAUAUGUUUCCAUGUAUGGAUGUCGAAUUGUAGAUAUUGUUACUUAUCUCUUGAACUUAGAUAAGUACGAUGUAUCCUAUCCUUAUAUAGGUUGUAGAUUAGUUGUAUAACGUUCCUUUGAAAGUGUUUUCAAAAUCAAAUAUAUAUUUUCUUUCUUUAAGAGUUAAAGAUCUAGGAGUAUGGUGCUGACUAGUUAUCAGAAUGUGUCAUCCUAGAAAGAUACUGGCACAAGCGACACUGACCUGCGACAGAGGUACAAACACAUGGCUAGUGCAAUUUUUGGUGUGUGUUAACAGAUAUAGGGGCUUGUUGACUGACAACAUGGUAGUGGCACAUCCUUGUGCCAUGAGGCAAUCAUUGGUUAUAUAAGUUGAAACAAGUCCUUCAUGGAUAAUUUUGUUAUUUGGGUUAGGUCUAUGUCUCUAAGUUACCAAAUGUGAAUUAGACUUGGCAAGUUGUUUGGUUUCUUUUAGAAUAUUUGGCAUAGCAUAAUAGAAAAAUCGUGUACGUCCAAAGCAUUGUCAAUUUGAUUUUUCUUUUUUGACAAUGUACAUUAGACCUUUAUUUCAUCUUUAUAUAUAUGUAUAUAUAUAUAUAUAUAUGUAUAUACGUAUAUAUGUAUGUAUAUAUAUAUGUAUAUAUAUAUAUAUAUAUGUUUGCCCAACAGUUAUUUUUGUUACUUCUCAUCUGAUAGCCGAUCCUUUGUUCUGCCAAUUUGGCUACUGGAGGAUGACCAUUGUAUUUGUUGGAUGUAGUUCGGUUAAUACUGAUAUAAGCUGGUUUGUUAUUGAAACAUUUUGGCCUGUGGUACCUACAUGUUCAUUUUCUUUGACAAAGUUAAUAAGGUACAAAAGUUUUCAUGAUUGGAAGAAAGAGCAAAAAACAACAAAGUAAGUUUCUGUGGGCAUGUGGAUUGCAGAACAUGCCCUGUUUAGUGGACACAUUUCAAUUAUGUUAUUGUUGUUUUUUUUUUCUAACUGUAUUGUGUUCCUUACAUCAGUAGGUUGUGUAUGCAUGGACAUGGAGAACAGUAUAAAUUUGGGUCUUUUAUGUUAAAACAUGUUGAUUAUCUGCAUAAUUAAUCCAAUCUGUAUUUCUUGCGGUAAAAGCUUUCUGUUUUAUUGUUCAUAUUUGAUUCUUCUGUCCUUUUACAUCAGGAUAAAUUGGCAAACUUUAGAAUAAAAGAGCUUAAAGAUGUCUUGACUCAACUUGGUUUGGCAAAGCAAGGAAAGAAGCAGGUUAGGAGUCAUUCUUCUUUGUUUCUUUUAGUUGUAGGGUACCAUCUAGUUAUUUUAGUCCAAAUGUCAUAAGCAUGCAACUUGGCAUUUUGUUGUGAUAAGUGCCUCUUUAACAGCCACAAGAGAUGGAGCUUUUCUGCCUGUUUAUUAAGCUUUAUUUUAGACUUGCAUUUUCUAACUGUAGUCUAUUUUCUUGUACCAACCAUGUUAAUACUAUUGAUUGUAAAAUUCGACAAUUCAUUGUGAGCUGUAUUACACUUCUCAUUAUAGGAUACUCAUUUUACAACUCAGAUCCAGUAGUUACUUAUUUUGUGUUCACUGAUGCCAACAUGCAGAUCUUGAUUAUUAUUAGCCAAAUCACAUUUUUCUUUUUGUUUAUACUUUAUAGUUUAUAUUAUCUUCUACACAUUGCUUUUGGUUCUUCUUUGAUCUAUUUUAUAAUAGCCUUUUUUUAAUCGUAUGUUAUGCAGGAUCUCAUGGACAGGAUUUUAGCACUGGUUUUAGAUGAACAAGGUAUUCGAAUAUUCAGAAUUAGUGGCAGUUUUAUUAUACUUCAUCUUGAGAAGUACCAACUGUAAUGUGCAUGUCAUAUUUCUUUCUUUGGAAAUUAGACGUUCUAUAGGAAAUAAAACAUAGAGAUGAUAUCUCAGAAUACUUCUUCUAGUUUUAGUUUAUACAUGUGGAGUUUUGUACAUCCACAGAGUUACAUAACUCGAUUUUAAUGAAUUCUCUCAUAUAGUGACUUUGGUUGUAGUUUUCUUUAUUUGUUCUAUUUCAUUAAAUUUAUUCCUAGUAAAAUUUGUCAUUCAAUGGACAUUUUUGUUCAGUCCCCAGUUAUAAAAUCUAUUUCUUUUUUCAGGAUCUUUUUUGUCAAACCAUAUUCUUCGCAAUCAGAAAAUUUUCUUCCUGACCAUAUUUUUGGACUUCUUUUUCUGCUUGUUGAGCUUGCUGUUUUUCAUCCUUCUGUGGUAUUGUUUAAAGAUGGAUAAUUAUGACCUUGUACUUUCAUUCUUCCAUCAGCAUUGUAUAUUAUCAGCUUUUCGAUACAUAUUCCCCUCAUCUCAUUUUUCCUAAAGUUCUUUGCAGUUAUGAUUUAUAUAAGCUGCCUAAAUAUUGUCUUGUAAACUUAUGUAAUCGUGAGAAUGCUGCCGGUUAUUUUAAUCCAUCUUCAUGCAUCGCCAAUCUGACUAGUUCUCAUGUUUUCUUUUGUUUCAAUCAAUGAUUGAAACAUCGUACCGUACCAGAGUUUCGAAAUUCGCCUCUCUUCUCCCCACGGCGACGUCGCCUUUAUAUAUAUAUAUAUAUAUAUAUAUAUAUUAUUUUAUUUAUUUAUUUAUAUAUAAAAGUAAAAAAAAUCUGCGACGUCGCCGAGAUAUAUAUACAUAUAUAUAUUUAUAUGUAUAUAUAUAAAUUAAAAAAACUGCUCGAUAGCGAGCGGUCCGUGUACCGAUCUGCUGACGGACCGGUACGAGCGGUAUUAUUCGAAAUUGAAGACCUUGGUUUCAACAUUCUACCAGUGAUUAAUGAGUAUCUUAUCUGUGUAUUAUUUGAAUCUAAUUGAAUACAUAUAUCAUGUAAGUAUAUUGCCAAGUUAUGUUCUCUAAUCUUGUUUCAUGGUUUUUACCAGCUUAGCCAAUUUCUUUACAUUGUUCUGUUUACUGUUGACAUCUUUCCCCACCUCCACUCAUAUAUGAGCUUCUCCCACCUUUCCUGCUCUAGAUCCUCAUUAUGUUUGGCUUUAUCUCUCUUAUUUCACAGUACCUGAGCCACAAGUUUGGGGAAGGAGAAACUUUGUAGGGAAAGGAGGAGUAGCUAAAAUAAUUGAUGAUACUUAUAGGUGAUUAUCACAUUUACCCUCACCUAUAUUUCCUUAUUGUUUUAAGUCAAAUGCUUCUAACUCUAAAUUAUUACAGUGUGUUGUGCUUUGAUAUGUCCCUUGCAGGAAAAUGCAAAUUCCUGGUGCUACAGACUUAGCAUCUAAAAGCUACAGUCGUACAGAAUUCAAUCACAUGAAACCUAAGGAGGUUGAUUCAUAUAAAUCAGAAAUGAAAAUACGUUGCCCCUGUGGGAAAUCAUCUAAUUCUGAGUCAAUGAUUCAGGUAGUUCUGCUGCUUCAGAUUCGAUGUUUCUAAAAUAAACUUGAGGAGCACUGGAUCUUGGUAACCAAUAAAAUAAGUUUCACAUGGCAUUAUCCAUGGAUUUUUUGUUAGUGUUACAAUCUUUAUAUCCAUGUGGAUUAGUGAUCCAUUUGGACUCUCUUAUAGUAUUUCUUUUCUUCUGGUUAGUCACUUCUAAUAUCACUAAUUUCUGAUCAACUCCAAAGUUAUAACUAGAAACUGUGCCCUUUGGUACUUCAGCUUAAAGAUUUUUUGACUGUCUUUUGCUGUUGUUACUCGCAUAUACAACCUGAUAAGGAAAAGUAAAAAAAAGAAACUGUAGGAGUUCUUACCCUCUCAAACUUUUAUUUCAGGGUAAAUCUGAGUUUGAUUCUCUUUAUCAUUUUUUGUUAGUCAUAAAACAAGAGAAUGCACAAAAACUGAAAGCAGAAAAGAAGUAAAAUUUCCUAGAGAGUCCAACUUUAGAUAGAAAUAAUUUUUCCUAGAAUUUUCUAAGCACACAUACUAACAGGUAAGCAACUUUCAUAAGUCAUACUGUUAUAAUAGAAUUUGGAAAAUGAAAUUACUGACUCUACAGAUGUCUUAUCCAGCAAUUAUAAAUAAGGACGAAAAUUCAUCCAAAGAUGUCUUAUCAUCCUGUAGUCCUGGACUAAAUAGGUCUGAAACUUGAGUCAACUAUACUGCAUCAUUUUAGCUUCUUUUUCUAGAAGACUGGUGCAUGGUCAUCCUUGAAUUCUUUUUCCAAACUUCUACUAGUGUUCCGCUUUUUUUUAUCCUAGUAUCAUAUUAUCUUUUGUUUGUACAAUUGUUUGCUAACUGAUAGUGCUUUAGUUGCUUUAUUUCCAUCUCCUCAUUUUACAAGAAUUAUACAUUUUUUUUAUUGCAGUGUGAAGAUUCUGGGUGUCGAGUCUGGCAGCAUAUUGUUUGUGUAAUUAUACCUGAAAAAUCUAUGGAGGGUGCUUCUCCUGAAGUUCCGUCUCACUUCUAUUGUGAAAUUUGCAGAAUCAACAGAGCAGACCCGUAUGGCAUAUUCAUCCCUGUUGUAGUUAUUACUUAUUAGAAUGUUAUAGUGGAUUCUUACUUAUAUAUUUGACCCUCCACAAAGGCUGUCAUUAUUCUGUUUCAUUUCAACUUGAUAAUAUUUGUGGGAUUGCAGUCAUCACAGAAUGCCUUUUCGUUUGAUCUUUUGCCAGAUAAUAUCAGUUCAUAUAUCAUACAAUUCAUCAUAAAUUAUCAAGAUGCUGAAAUUCAUUCUGAUUAUUAGGUUUAGUUGCAUUUAACAUGAAGCUUGUUUGUAGGAUUUGGGAAAUGUAUUGUCUUCCUAUUUAGAGUCUGGAAAUUCUUUACUUAUUAUUAUGCUUGCAUGAUAUACAAUGCAUGCCAAAUUACUUUUCAUUUGACUGGUAAUAUUUUUUAAAAUAUUUUUGUAAAUGUAUGCAUCUCUUUUUAUGAUAUCAUGCCCUGAAUACCUUGUCCCCCUCGUGAUUAUCUUGAUGAAUUAAUGAUUUCAUACAAUGGUAUAGGAUAUUCAUGACCAUUUAUUACUGCUGUUAUUGGCUAGAUAUCUAUAAGGUUUUGACAGGGUCAUGACUUUAUAUUGUGGACACGUAAUAAGAACUUUCUAAAUGACUAAUUCAAUUCUUAUAUUUGUUAUCUGGGUCCUGUAUAUAGGUUGACGAAUUCAAUUCUUUGUCUGUUUACUGCUGUUCUUCACUUUUGUAUAUAGAAUCAGUUGAUCAUGAUAGUGUUGAUUAUGACAUGCAGAUUCUGGGUGACGAUGGGGCAUCUAUUGCAUCCUGUAAAGUUUUUAUCAGCAGGCAUCACAGCUGAUGGGUUAGUCCUCAUCAAAUCUUUCUAAGUUUGUCCAUGGCUUGUUGAAGAAUCUAAAAAUGUUUGCUUCUUAUGUUAAUGUCAGUCAGUAGGGCAAACAAACAUUUUGAUGUUAGCUAUAAAAAGUCUUAAUGCUUGUUAUUACUUGAAUUUUGGAAGUUAGAACUGGCUCUACAUUGAGUAUUUCUACUUUUGUAGUCUAAUUUGAACUAUUUAAAUCUGGUCGAAUUACAUGGAUAUGAAUGACAGAGGCUUAGGGGAAUGUAUGUGGAGUUAAUUGUAUAAUAGAAAAUUCUGAAAUUGAUGAUAUGUCCGUUAAUUGUAUAACAGAGCCAUAAUCACUUCUUGAAGUUCCAGCUCCUCCAUUGGAACAAUCUUUUGUGAGUCCAUAUACACUCACAUUCCAUGUUCAUAUCUUACCACCUUGUUUCAGUUCUAGCCAAACACUUUUGGCUCACAUUUCUCUGCCUGUUAUUGUUUUUUUUUUUUUGUCUGCAUUAAAAUAAGGAUACUGUAUAUUAAAAGAUCUCUUGUUCUUUAAUCUACUUCCCUUGAAUGUUAGAAUGCCAAGCAUCUCGAGUUGGCUUGCAAGUAUUGCGUGUGCUCCUUCAUUAAUAGUUUAUGUACUGUCUUUCUUAAUGCUUCUGUACGACUGUUUAAUUUGGGGGAUGUCUAAUUGUUAGGAAGGGGUCGAAGGGAAAUUCAGUUUUGAUGGACUGGCUACUUGUGUUUGGUAACUUUGGUUCACAUGAAAUCUUUGCAGAACUAUGGAACUGCAGCCCCAAAUGGAUUAGGAUCGAUUUAGACUUCCACACUUCCCUACAUCUUGAACAUCUUAAAUAUCUUGCUGCGUUAGGAAUAAGAAAUUUUAGAUUAUUUCUUGGGCAUCUUAAUUAUCGCACAUUUUAUAUUUGAAGUCACAUUGAAUUCAGUGAUUUAAAAAGGCGCUCGCCGAGGCGCUCGGGCCUCGCUUCACUUCCAGGCGGAGCGUUUCAAAGAGGCGCCGUCUGGGCGCUCACCCGAGCCCAGGCGCUGGGCGCUUUGGGCGAGCGCCUGGGUUAAACCAGGUGAUCGAACCAGGAUUUUAGGUCUGGUUCGGUCUCCGGUGGUUAGUUGGUUCAAUCGAACCAACUAAAAUUAAUAUCAGCUGUCGUUGCCGAACCCUAACCCUGCUCAUUGCCGCUGCCACUCCCGCUCCCGCUGCUCGCCGCUGUCGCUACUUGCAACUGCUGUCGCUGCUCACAACCGCUGCCGCUGUCGCCGCUCUUGCUCCCGCUGCCCACUGCUCGCCGUUACCGCUAUCGCUACUAGCCGCUGUCGCUGUCGCCGCUGCCGCUGUCAUUGCCUCCUUACACUCCUGCUCCCGCUCCCGCUGCCGCUGCCGCUGCCUCCUUACACUCCCGUUGCUGCUGCCUCCAUACACUCCCGCUCCCGCUGCCGCUGCCUCCUUACACUAUCGCUGCCGCUGCCGCUUCCUCUUUUCUCAGUCAGCACCCCCUUACACUCUUCCUUCUUCUCCGUCAGUAUAUUGUUAACAGUAUACUGUAUACUGUUAAUAUUGUUAGGUUUAUUUGAAAUUAUUAAUUUUCAAUACUGUUAAUAGAUUAAUAAUAUAUUAUUCUUAAUUUAAUAUUAUAUUUUUAUUUAAAAUUUUAAAUAAUUAUAUUUAUUAAUUAUAUUAUAUAUUUUUAUAUUUUAGCACCUCGCUUCGCUCGGGCGAGCGCCUGGGCAAGCGCCUAGCGCCUCGGGCGUUUUAGGACUUUAGCGCAUUUUGGUACCUAACGCUUUUUAAAUCACUGAUUGAAAUUGCACUUUAGAAAAUGAGAUGAAUUCUAAUAGUUUAUACUUCAGAGAACUAUAACAAAGAUAAGAGUAUGUAGGUAUGGUGUUUCAUAAUAAGACUAACAUUAUGUGUGUCUGGUCAACAGAACUAAAGAUAUGAGAAGGCAAAACAAACCAAUUAAUUAUGUACCGCAUCAAUGGGAAAAAGGUUGUAGAGUUUGUUGUGACUAAUAAUAGUGUGGAUAUUGUAACUUUCUGAUUGCAAAUAUGAAACUAAGGAGUUAUUUGGUGGAUGGAAGAAUGUAAGAUUCGUUAGUGUCAUUAAGAAUUGUUUCUGUAUCUUAGGAUCCGUAGUUUUCUGUAUGAUAUAAAAUACUGCUUCAGUUUAUACGUAUUAAUCCAACGAAGUGCUUAUAAUGGAACAUAAGCACGUUUCCACCUGGGUGUACCGCUCGGUACACCGUACCAUACCGGUACCGAGCCCAGGUCGAAAUACCGGUACGGUAUGGUAUUGCGAACCUUACUUCAUAGGAUCUUAUAUGGACAAUUUCUGAAGUUUUUUCACUAUUUAAUUGGUUGGUAUUUGUGAACUGACUGCUUGUAUAAUCUGGCAUUACUAAUAUCAUAUACUUACCAUUUUUUUUAUUUUUGCAUGCUAAUUUUAUGGCGGCUAUGUUUACAUCUUUUCCAGCACAAUCACAGUGCACAAUGUGGAGAGAACAUUUCAAUUGUCAAGAUCAGAUAAGGAACUGUUAACGAGACCUGAAUAUGAUCUUCAGGUUUGUUUCUAGUUUUCAUAUUUUGUUUAACUAUGUUCACCUGGUGGCUGUCCUAAUUAUACAUCCUUUUGGUAAAAGAGAUGAACUUAUGAGAUAAGACUCAUAAAUUGCUUUCUUUAAGGUGUCAAUCCUCUGCCAUUGUUGCUUGCUGUAAUUCUCCUAUUUGACAAUUAAUUGUCUCAGGAUCAAAUAGUAAACCAGAAUUUUGAGUUCAUGAAUCGAGCAAAUAAUUAAUUAAACUGAUAAACAAUGAAUUUACAUUUUUUUUGUCCUGAAAUGUUACCAUAAUCCAUAGAAUUGAACCUGCAAGAGGCUGUUGUGUUAUGGUUAUCAAGGAAAGACCAUUCCUUUUAUGAAUUAAUUUGUCGCCUUGUCCUCAGUGUGAAAUUCUCUUUUUGUUUCAUGAUCCUUCUUAACUCUACUAUAUUUUUUUUUAUUUUGAAGAUUUUAGCAUUAAGAAAAGCUAGUUGAAGUCUUAAAGUUAUUCUCUUUAAUUGCCUGAAUUAACAUGAAAACUUUGCAAUUGUAAAAUGAGGCUCUAGGUGACUAUAUUAUGAGGGUUUUUUUUGUCAUUUUAUUCUUUUGUUCUUUGAUUAAUGGCUUUUAAAGUAUUUUCAUGAUCAUUCUAGAUUCCAAUACCAGAGAAGGACUUUGAAAUGAAGACUAGUUUAUUUUCUUGAUCCUUCUUAACUCUACUAUAUAAGCAAAAUCUGCUCGAUUUCCUGAUUGUCCUUUGUAUUGCUACUCAUGCAAAGUAAUUAAUUACCGAGCAUAUGUCAUUGAUGUCAUGGCCCUGUGCAGGCCUGGUGUCUACUACUCAAUGAUAAGGUCCCAUUUAGAAUGCAAUGGCCGCAGCAUACAGAGUUGAAAGUCAAUGGUAUGGAAGAAAACUGUGCUUGUAACUAUUGUGUUAUUUGUCAUUGAUGUGUUUUCUGUUGAUUUAUUGAAAUGGUGGUAGUUCUAAAUGUAAUUUUUACUUGCACACCCAGAUAUUAUUGAUGUUAAUUAUGUAUAUUAAAGGGCAGUCCCAAUGCUCGAGGCUCCCGCUGAUGUGGUAAUUAUGUAUAUCAUUUCUUAUAUUUAAAUUUUGACUCUUAACAAUUAAUUGCAUAAGGCUUUCUUUACUAAAUUCAGGUUUUUAAAGUUGAAAUUGGAGGUAUGAUGCCAAUGUCAUUUGAGUGUUGCACUACCUUCCAUUUUGCCCAUUCCUUUUAGCAAGUAGUGAAACUAGUCAUUGCAUCACUUUUUAACCUUGUUUCUGGCGUUGCAUAUUGCCCAUUCCUUUUAAAAUUAAACCACCAAACCAAACUUCAUUAGCUUCAUUAAUGGCAAGUUUGUCAAAAUUGAAUGUGAAAUGUACAAAACCAAAAGGCCACAGUUGAGAAAUAUUAUUCAUAGGAUUUUGAUAGUUCAACUUAUGUAAUGUAGUAAGCGACCAAGCAGUUUCACACAUACUGUGAUCCAAAAGCGCAGACCUGCUAAUCAUAACCGAGACUGCAUGAGCAAAAAUGAUCCUUUUCUUUUUCACAAUAGUAGAAUGUAAUCUGCUAAAAGUUGAUGUUAGAAAUGGUACAGUAGAACUGUGUGACAAAGUUAUCACCACUUUUAUAGAGAUUUGAGGAUUGCUGGUGUACUUAAGCUUUAGAGAAUUAGUUAUAUAUGAAUAUCUUCCAUUUGCUAACAGGUGUUUCAGUCACAGUGGUUGCUAGACCUGGCUCACAGUUGUUGGGUAUCAAUGGCCGAGAUGAUGGUCCAAUGGUUAGUCCCCUUGUUUGAUACACACUUACACAGUUCACUUCUGUUGUCAUAGUCACAUAAUAUUCUGUGCCUACUCUUUUUAGUGGCUUUGGAUUUUUGUAAUUUACUUGUACCUCCAUUGUGAUUGCUAUUACUGAAUAUCUAAUUAUGAACCUAAGAGAACAUAAGAUAAAUAAGCAGUCUAAAUACAGUGCCAUAUGUCUCCUGGUUCUGUAUUACUACAAACCUAAUGUUUAUUGUUUCUCUUCAUUUUUUUUUAACUUGUUUAUUUCAUAUUAUUUGAUUUAUUUUCCCAGAUCACCACAUAUAGCAAGGAAGGGAUGAACAAAAUUGUUUUAUCAAGGUGCGAUUCUCGUAUAUUCUGUUUUGGGAUAAGACUUGCAAAGAGGCGGACAGUACCACAGGUAAACUAGCUAUUUUUGUUUUAUAAGUAUAAACUAGCUAUUUGUUGCUAUAUAAGGUAACAAUUCUUUUUGCAGGAGUCAAACAGUUUAUUGGUGAUCACCCCUCUAAUCACAUGUUAUAUGAAUUGUUACUACUUACUAGUGAACAAGACAAUAGAAGAAAAGAGUUUCUCUUUUCUCACUUUUGUUUGUAUACAGGAUGAAGUACAUAUAGUCAAACAAAAGAAAAGAAAGGAAAGCGCUACCUAAAUAAAUUUAGGUGCUAAUCUAGGAAAUAUACAACUAGCAAAUGUACACAAAUAAGGUAAUACAACUAGGAGUGAAUCAACAAUCAUAUCUUAGUCUAUCACUUCAAAUAAGGUAGCAUGUCAAGAAUCAAAUUGUAGCAGAUCUUGACAUAUCAAAUCAUAGCAGAUUUGAUAGAUCUCAGCACUCCCCCUCAAGCUGGUUCGAAGAUAUUUAACAUCUCCAGCUUGCUAUUUAUGUGAUCAAACUACUGUUUUUAAAGCCCCUUUGUGAAAAUAUAUAUUACUUGUUGCUUGGUAGGGACAAAUGGAAUACAUAACAGUCCAUCAUCCAACUUCUCUUAAAUAAAAAGUUGAUCGGCCUUAAUGUGCUUUAUUCUAUCAUGAUACACCGGGUUGUGAGAGAUAUUAAUUGCUGCCUUAUUAUUUGAGUCAAGGUUUGUUGUACCAAUGCGUAUCACUCGGUACGGACAGUAUGUACCGGUCCGACAUGAUAUCGGUACACGGGCCACCCUCUAUCGGGCGGUACUGGUCACUUGAUCUCAUAUCGGGUGAUACGGGGCUGGUGCUGGGCGGUAACGGUCGAACUUCGAUUGUUACCGAUCAAGGGCUGAAAUUGCCCUAUUUUAAACAGUCAAUUUGACCCUACGAUGAUCGAUCUUACAAUACGAAGCAGCAAAUCAGUAGCGAAAGUAGAAGUUCCGACAUUCACUAUGCUCCGCACCAAAAUAGGCCUUGCAGAUUAUUAUUGUAAUCUGUGAUGUUUGAUGUACCUUGCUUUAUUUUUUGAAUUUGCCUUUUAUUUUGAAAAUCUAAGAAGUAAAACUUACUUUAGAGUAGGUUUUAUUGACAACAUCCCAAAUAUAUCUAGCCAUAGGAAGAAGAUAUAUCUUGUUGAUUUCUGGUUGCAUAGAGUGAAGCAACCACAACAUCACUGUCGCAUUCUCGAUCUCCCAAGUUUCGUAUGAAGCAUCUUCCAAGGCUUGUGCCUUUGCAGCCCCAUUCACAUAUCUGAACUUUCCUUGUUAAAGAGAUCUUCAUGGUUUGAGAUCACUCCAUAAAAUUUCUCCCGCUUAGUUUAACGGUAGAGAUAUGGAUGGUAAUUGGUAUAACUCUCAAAUUGAAGGGAAGAUUGAGUGUGGGCAGGUUAGGUAGAUUAGAAACAAACUUAGGAGUUUCAGACAUGAUUGGAAACAAGAAGAGUUACUAGAGAGAAUUUUCAGCAAUGAAGGCCGAGAGAAAGAAACUAAUCUGUCAUAUACCAUAGACGACAGAAAGAAAAACAGAACCUAACCUUGCUCUCAUAUCAUGAACAAGACAAUAGAAGAAGAGAGUUUCUCAUUUCUCACUUUUGUUUGUAUACAGGAUGAAGUACAUAUAAUCAAACAAGAGAAAAGCAAGAAAGGAAAGAGCUACCUAAAUAAAUCUAGGUGCCAAUCUAGGAAAUAUACAACUAGCAAAUGUUCACAAAUAAGGUAAUACACCUAGGAAUGAAUCAACAGUCAUAUCAUAGUCUAUCACUUAAAAUAAGGUGGCAUGUUAAGAUUCAAAACAGAUCUUGUCAUAUCAAAUCAAAUCACAGCAGACUUGAUAGAACUCAACAACUAGUUGGUUUAUCAUUUUCUGAUAUUGGACUCAAUAUCUAGGUGACCCAUUAGGAGAAAGGCAAACCCAAGAUUAUUUCCUCUUACCAGCAUUGAUUUGUAAUUCUUUUCCAUAACUGUCAGAUUGAGUCACAUUGCAGACCCAACAUUGGCAGGAGCCUGAUGCACUAGGUUGAUAUAUUUUCUGUUUAUCCCUUUAUAUUAACUAUAUUACAUAUGUCCAGGCAUUUUUAUCAUGUGAAAAAGUAUGGUGUGCUUAUCAUUUUGUCUACAGUGAAACUUGUGGGAACUUCUUUUGGAUUUGUUUUGCAGAUGCAACAGCCAUCAGUCAUAUACUCCAUGAAUUAGAUUCCAGCAUAUUAAAUGAUGUGAAAAGUACCGGUCUUCCAGAGUUAGAACCUUGGGGCUUGAUUUUUGUAGGUCAAGAUUUUGAAGGAUUAAUAGGGUUGGAAUUGACAAGCAAGUAUGAACUGCUAGGAUCUUGAACUUGAACAUCAAUGGUAUUCGGCAACUUUUUGAACUCAUCUUGGUAAAGGCAGUGUUGUAAUUAUGUGUGUCAGUCAUGAGAAUAUACCAUGGAUGAGGAAGAUGUUGGUAUGCAUUGGUAAUUUUCACUCAAAAGUUACAUUCAGAAAAUUACAUAUAUGGAAAGACACAACUACACCUUUUGACUCAUUUGGCAUUUUUUGAUUUUGAACAGUAUAGAUGAUAAUCAGAAAUUUUCUUAAAGGAAUAUUUUUGCUUUUGGAUAUUACUUUUUCCUUCACAAUGUGAUUUUUCAUGCAAUUUAUGGUUGUGAAUGAGGAAAUUUUAUUAAAUUUCUGAAUGCCAGUUUCUUUUUUUAUUAUUUUUAGUUUUUGAUGUUGAAUCAGUUGUUCUUUCUUUAAAGCAAGUAGUUCUCAUUUAGGUCCUUAGUUUGGUUCCCAAGGAAGAAGAAGGUGAGUGUUUCCAGGAUGCUCUUGCUCGUGUUUGUCGCUGCAUUGGUGGUGGAGCUGCUACUGAGAAUGCGGACAGUGAUAGCGAUAUAGAAGUGGUAGCUGAUUCUGUCACAGUGAAUCUUCGUUGUCCGGUAAGUGAAAGUGUACAUUUUGGUGCAACCCUAUCAGGUCAAACAUGAACAGGAAUCGUGGGACAGAAAACAUGUUACUAGUCAUAUUCCUCUACCCAAUAUAUGAAGUUUAAAUCUGAAACAAAAUUGAGUUUGAGGCUUGCCUAUUUAAGAAGUAACAACAGAAAAGGAUCAUAUAGACCAAGCAAUCUAAGAGCUUUGUGAUUUGUGUUAGAACUUAAACAUCACAGGUCAUGCAUUGACAAGAACUAGUAUUUGUAAAUAGCCUUUUAAAACAAAUAUUUAGCACCCACAAAGAUUAUCUUUUCAUGUUGACUCUAAAAUUCAUGUAAUUUGGUCAACUUCGACAUGGAAGUAUGAAAUUUUUGUCCUGCAGCUGGUUGGACAUCAUGAACUGAAUAAGCUCAAGAAAUAAUUGAUCCAAAGGUGGUUGUUGUUUGUGGCCAUACCGGAUUGCACAAAUACAAAUUUCAGCAGGCUGAUUGUGUUCCUACAUAAUCAAUGGUGUAGACAUUGUUUUAAUUGUAGUACAAGUUUGUAUAUAGAAGUUUGAUCAUUUGAUGUCCCUGUACCUAAUAGUGGUGCCAAAUUUGUUGAUUUUUAGGAAUUCUGGUAGUUCAACUUUUGUUGCUUCAUGACUAUUAACAUCCUUAGAAAGACAAUGAGUUUCUUUUCUUUGCAUAUUUGCAGAUGAGUGGGUCUCGGAUAAGAAUAGCAGGCAGGUUUAAGCCUUGUGUUCAUAUGGGCUGUUUUGAUCUGGAAACAUUUGUGGAGCUAAAUCGACGUUCUCGGAAGGUUAUGAUUGUUCUUACUUCUUAGUGCCUUCUUUUUUUCUCUGUUCAGUUUUCCUUUUGUUGUUCAGACUCAGAAAUUUUUGCUGUCAUGCAGUGGCAAUGUCCAAUAUGCCUUAAGAACUAUUCACUUGAGAACAUCAUUGUUGAUCCAUAUUUCAAUCGCAUCACUUCGAUGGUAGGUUUUCCUGGAUCUUUGUUUUGUUACAUUUAGUUUACUCAUUGUUUUCUUAUUGAAGAUCUAUUUCUUUUCAUUUUGCUGAUAACAGUUGCAAAAUUGUGGAGAAGAUGUAACUGAGAUUGAUGUGAAGCCUGAUGGUUCUUGGCGUGUAAAAAAUGAACUAGAAUCCACUGAUCAUUCUCGAUCGCAUUUGCCUGAUGGUACCCUCUAUGCUAUUACAGAUGCAGAAGUAAAACCUUACAUGGGGAAUCUGAGAUAUAUGAAGCAGAAGAGCCCUUCAGAGAGGCACUUCAGUUUGAAUUCAGGAAUGAAGUCAAAUCCAAAGCAAAGACCUAAAGAUAAGAGGCUUCCAUCUUUUGAGAGUCCUAGUCUUGGUAAGCUUGAAAAUCUUUGUGAAGGCAUAAUAAAUAUGAGCAGUAGUGCGACUGGAAGUUACAGAGACGGGGAAGAUCCAAGUGUAAAUCAAGAGGUUGGGGGACCUUUUUAUCUGUCAUUGAACAAUGGCCAUGAGUCUGAUUCUCUCUCUCUCAAUCUUGAUCCAACAUACAGUAUUGAGAAUAUAACUCCUGCACCCUUCGAAGAUCCUAAUGUGAUUUUCUUGAGUGACUCUGAUGAUACACUGAUUUCUCCUGAAACUGCAUAUGGCAUUCAUCCUUCUGGUAAUAAUACAAUCCCUUUUCCCAACCAUCCUGGGGUUUCAGAAAAAUAUUCUGAAAACAAUGGGCCAGACACAAGUGGAACUUCAUUCCUUGGAUUAUAUAACAAUACUGAUGUAUUUGAAACUUGGCCAUUGCAUGCAUGCCCUCAGUCAGGUCCUGGCUUUCAACUUUUUGGAACAGAGGUCCCAGAUGUUUUAGCCGAUUCACAUAGUUCCCUUGGGUGUGCACCAAUUAGUGGCUAUGGUUUGACAACUAAUCAUGGUGUAGAAGUUACUGCACAAAUCCAAGAUCUUUUUAAAUGUCAUUCUGGUACUGGAAUGCUAGGAAGCUUAGGUGAUAAUCCCCUAGCAGUUGCAAAUGAUGACCCUUCUCUGCAAAUUUUUCUUCCUAGUCAGCCAGUAGGAGUUGCCCUUCAAGAUGACUUGAUUAAUGGCACUGAUAUAGGGAAUGGGAUCAAUUCUGAUGAUUGGACAUCUCUUAGACUUGCUGCUGGUGGAACUCAUGGUGACUCUACCCCUUCAAAUGGACUGACUUCGAGGCAACAGGUCACACCAAAGGAGACUCAGAUGGACCUAUUAAAUGAUGAUGGUUUGUACCUUCCCAUUACAACUGUUAAUUAUUUUCCUCUAUAAUACAAAUCGCCAUGGUUUCAAAUAUGGUCCGCUACCCGUAGAUUAUUUUCCUUUUUGUUUUGCGGAUGAUACCAGGUGGCAGGUCAGAAUACAUCCGGAAAUAUUCCGGUACCAUACCAGUCCAAUAGAUUUACCGAAACUGGUGUUGGAUUGAGCUUUAGAUUUUUGUAUGACAAUGACUACACUAUGGGCACAAAAAUAUCUACCAUUCUGCCAUAUAGAGUUUUCAUGCUAUUGUUAUAUACUGCUUUUAAAAAAACAUUACAAAAUCUCUACAUGUGAUUAUGCUAAAAGCUCAGUGUAUAAAAAUGUGUACUUAUUCAAUAUGACACGAAAAAAGAAAAAUAGUUGAUUUCCUUGGAGGAGUAUGAAGACUUUUUAACAUUUGGCAUAGUGAAUAAUUGAAUUAACACUAGUGAUUUUGCAGCUGUCCAUUCAGAAUGUUCUAAAGUUCCUGUUGGCAAAUAAAAUAAGCAGCUCAUAUUUUGAUGCAUUUUGUUUUCCAUAAAUGUUGUACCUUCAUGGUAUUGCCCAGAUUUUUUGAUGCAGAUCUUGUUUUGACUGUAAAUUUGUGUCCUCGUUUUGUGUAUGCAGCUUCUUUACUGUUGAGUAUGAACAGCAACAAAGCCAAUAAAGCAAAUUUUAAAACUCAGAAGUCCGAUAGUUCUCCUGGACAACCACGGUCUAUUAGGCCUCGGUUAUAUCUGUAGAUACUGAUUCCUAUUGUUGAUCAUGUGGGGAUUCAGAUUAAGAUGGAAACUAAAAGGUUGCUGCAUGCCUGAUACUGCUGUUCUACUCUGAUGUUAUGUGGGGAAAAAGGAGGCCAAACAAUCUUUAUACUGACAUGAAAGAGAAGUUACAAUUCAUGAUCACAGCAGCAAGUUUCUUAGCUACGACUGCUGGAACUAUCAACUAAAGGGAAAUAUCAAACAUCUUGUUUGGUGGCAGAUGGUGAGCUAAUUUUAGUUUGGGCUGUUCAUUACUUCGUGGAAGAUUUCCUCUCAUUAGCUUCCGCCUGCAAUCGACUGAAGACACCCAUUGCGUGGCUGCCACACCAGUUUGUUAACUAUAAGAUUCUAUAGGCAGAGAGGGAUGGGUUCCUUACACGUAAGCCAAAUAGGUGGGCAGCUGAUGUAUUAUAAUUGUAUGAUUUGAUCGGUGUAAAUUCAUGUGCCUAUCCAAUUCUGGUUGCAGUGAAGAGAAAGUAUUGCUUAUAAAUAACUUGCCACGAAUGCUUUCAAGUUACAAAAAUUCCAUUAUUUGAUGAUGAUUGGUGUUCCUGCAGGGAUAUUGGUUUAUGUUUUAAUGCUUUCUGGAAUUUCGUGUGCUUUUUCUGCUUCUAAUCAACCUCCUUCAUGCUGAGAAGGUACAUGCCACAUCAGGUAUGUGAAUUUUCCCGUAAAAUUCUCAUUAAUCCAAUUAUUCUCUUGCUUGUUAUCACAACAGAUUUGUUUCUGUAUAAUUUUAUAUCAUACCGACGUAUUGAUUUUUGUUUAGUACAAUAUGGUNNNNNNNNNNNNNNNNNNNNAAAAAAAGAUGUAUGUUGCCUCGACGACGUCAUCUCCUUUUCUUCUCUUAUCAUGUCAAACGAGGAGAAGAAUACGAUCUUCUCCUCAUAUAUAGCGUUUGAUGAAGAUACUAAAGGUUGUAGACAUCUCAGCCUUCGACAAAGAACGCGGCGAAGAAGAAGAUGAACCGUCACUUCUCCGUUACCUCCUGGUUUGAGAUUGUCAAGGGAGGAUAAUGCUAGAUGGGGAAGCAUCAAGCUUCUCUUGAUUUUCUUUCUUCUUCGAGCGUCUUCUUUCUCUUCUCCCUCGGCACUUCUUUUUCUCACAUUACAAUCAAACUAAUAUCAUCCAGUAACAAGCGACGAUAAUCAAAAUCGAUCGUUACCCCUCGAUACUGUCUUAUACCAUCCAAUACAGGGUUUGAUCAACGUUACCACUCAAUACUAGCGGUAUCAUUCGGUAUUAUAAUCCUUACUUUCAAUAUUAUCUAUUAUAUUUUUUAUUACCAUUUUUAAUAUUAUCUAUUGGUGUUUUUUUUUGUCAUUUUUUUAUUACAACUUUCUAUGGAAAGUGACUUUUAAAAAAAAAUAGAAAGUAUUUUUAAUUCAUUAAAUGAUAACCAUGGUGUUGAUAUAAUCAAAUCGGAUGUAACAUUGAAACUGACUAAUAUUUAUAUUUAUAUCAUGGAAUGGCUGAACAUCAUUCUAAGAAAUUUUCUUCUGCUAAUCAUCUGCUUUUGAUAUGAUAGUUAUGUUUUGGUCAUUGGAAAUGUGGAUUUGCAGAAGAAAAUUUCCAAUGACCAAAACAUAACUAUCAUAAAAUAUUUCACAAUGAUUAUACCGUUAUUAAAAUGGAUUAUGAUUAUAAAAUAUUUCACAAUUAUUCUAUUUUUCUUAUUUAUACUCCAAUAUGAUCGUGAACAUUACUUCAUAUGUUGGUUUAGGAAAGUAGCAUUUGGAACCUUUCCUCAAUCCUCGAUGAACGAUCAAGAUAUAGCAUCAGACACCUUCUACGGUUGAUGAUUGCCUCGUCAUUUGCAAGCCUUGAUGGACACCAGUCCUUGAUGAACGGUCAAGAUGCGGCAUCGGAUACCUGCUACUGAUGAUGAUGCCAACUCUUCUUGUGGUCUACCGCAGAAGUUUCUUCGUGUGAGACUCGGCCAGAUUGCCAUAUUCCCAAAUCCAUUUUCCCUAGUCUCGUUCCUCUCGCUUCCGGGCGUAUUUGAUCUCUCUCUCUCUCUCUGCUCCACUUCGAUCCCAUGGCGAAUUUGGAGGAGUCCAGCCCUCUCCUGAAGCACCCCGACGGCCGCGAGGAUGCCGCCCCCGAGUGUGCGGAAAAGGUACCGGCGCCGCCACCGGAAACGGCCCCCGAGCCGCAUGAGAAGGUGCCCUUGGAGACCGGCCCCAAGCUCCAGGAGAAGCCGCCUCUGACCGCCGCGACGGUCCCAACCGGGUGGACGGCCGACGGGCUCCCCGUCGGGUGCGGAAGCGUUGUCGGUGAGCCCGUCGGGCGCGCCCAGUGGAAUUCCAGCCUUUUUGCUUGCCUCGGCCGCAACGAUGAGUUCUGCAGCAGCGAUCUGGAAGUCUGUAUGUUCUGCAACCCCUCUCGUUUCGUGGCCUUUAUGUAUUUUCCAUGGUUCGGUAUAUUUUGGCGUACAUCGGGUCGAUCUCUCUCUUUCACUUUGAUUAAGAUGGGGGUUUCGAAUCUGAUACAUAUAUUGGUUGUUUUCUGGUGGUUUUUGGAUAAUACUUUUCAUAGAUCUAUUAGAUCGUUGUUGUUCAGAACCCUCCACGGCUGAUAAUGUUAAGGAGACCAUCCUCAAUUAAUUUCACAACGGCGUGUCAUUGUGAACACGUUUUCUUUUGGCCAUAUAGGUCAUUGGUAGUGUCGAGUCAGCUAAUUUUGCCGUAAACAUGCAUUUUUCUGUCUGAAAAUGGGAUCUAUCUCUCAAUAAAUUCAGGAUUGCUUCGUUUAAACCCUAAAAAUUGAAAGAAAAAAAAUUCUUCGAAAUAAUAACACUAGCCUCAUAUGCAGUUCACUUUGGACAUGUUUUGUGUUUGUUAUCAAGGGCUAAGCACAGUAGGUUUGCUGAAGUUUAAGUGUAUGUCUUCGAACUCAUGGUAAUAUGGACAAAUUACAAUCCUUCUUAGUGGUUGUGUGCAUAUUCUAGAACAAAAUUUGCAUGCAAAUCACGGAUGACAUCUAAAGGGAAGGCAGAGCUUUUAGCACUCAUUUAUAUCCAUCAUUAUUUGAACGAUUUUCAGGUUCAAUUAUCAAAUUCAUGAACUUAAUUAAGGACCAGAAGUGCUUUGCAAUCAUACCGAAAUUCUUGAAACAUAAACAUUCACAUAGUCAGCUUUCACCUUGUAAAAAUGUAUAGCGUGUGCUAUCUAAUAAAUGUUCUCAGCAAUGUUUGAGAAGGCAUCUUUACAAAGUUUACAAAUAACAGCAUUAAUGGAAAACCAAAGAGUGGAAAAUGGAGGAACAACUGUAUUUAAGUCUGGUGCUAACUUUUUUCCUAUCCUUCUGUUAUCUGGCUUUUAUCUGUAAGUAUUUGGGUCUUCUAAAGAUGAAGUGUGUAGUGGGAGUUCCUAGUUUUCUGUUUAGGCAAGGUAUUUUCCUUUUAUGCUUAUGCCAUUUCAUUGAUCAAAAUUUUAAGCAUCUAUAACAGUGGGCAAUGCCACUUUUUUUACUAUAUAUGAAAAAAGUUGCCUUGAACAGGUAACUGUGCACUUGUCAGGUUGCUAACUAUGUCAUUUAUCUGGUCUUGUAUGCAUCAUUAAGCAUCAAUAGCUUGGUUAUCUCAUGCUGACUAUGGCGGCUAUGUUCAGGUUUGCUUGGUAGCUUUGCUCCAUGUGUGUUGUAUGGAAGUAAUGCAGAGAGGCUUGGAGCAGUUCCUGGGUCUUUUGCCGAUAACUGCUUGCCUUAUAUUGGUCUUUAUGUGCUUGGGAAUGCUGUUUUUGGUUGGAACUGCCUUGCACCAUGGUUUUCACAUCCUAGCCGGACAGCCAUACGUCGCAAGUUCAAUCUUGAAGUAAUUUCUUUCCACUUUCAAGGGAAUGUGUAUUCGCAUUCCCAUUUUUGUUUAUUGAUUUGCAUAAAAUAGCUAGCAUUGGACUUUAAAUCAUGAAGAAAAACUUGCAGUUAAAAGAUCCCUUUAGCUUGUCAUCAAUAUGGAUCUUAAUCAGUUGUAAAAUUUACAUCCUUUCUCUAAGAGUUGAAUGAUUAUGCUAGCUGAUAUUGUUCUGACAACUAACAACAAUAACAAAUUCAUAAGUCACAACUAUUUGGAGUCGGCUACAUGAAUCUUUGUAUACCGUUAGUUGCACAUGUGCAUGAAAUUAACAUAAUCGUGAACACAGCAGAUCUUUUUUAGUAGCCUCAUCUGGUGGUAAUAAUUAAAGGCCAACUCAUAAAAAUGCUCAUCUCAUAUAAAUGUAGCCUUCUACACUUCUCCUUCCCAGGUUGGCAAAAAAUUGAAUUUGCGGGUAGUGAGACCAUUGUUUUUACCUUCAGUAAGAUAAUUGUGUUUUCAUCAUUUAACUAUGUUCCCUUUGGACUAUAUAUCUUUUAUGUUUGUUCAAUCAGGAGAAUGCAAUUAACACUUCUUUCAUUGCCCAAAAGUUUUUGUAAUUUUUUUUGUUCUCCACUAUUUGUAUUAUUUGAUUUAAGAUGUAUUGUCUGUAACAUCAACUUUAAGAUGAAAACAAAUGACAUCAUUUGGUUUCAAUGGCCUUCAAGAUCCAUGUGUCAUUGUUGUAUGUACUGAGAUAUAUUCUAUCUUUUUUUUUUUCUUCCUAUCAACUUUUAACAUAUGCAUGUUUCCAUUCUCAUUACUCUGGUCUUGUUAUGGUGGAUAUUCUGCUGAAGAUGUUACCUAAAUUCUCUGAUUUUCAAUUUGAUAAAAUGCUCCUAACUUACUGUUGUUGCCUCUCCUUUGUUCUGAUAUAUAGGGUAGCUUCGAGGCAUUCUCCAGAUCCUGUGGGUGCUGCCAUGGAGUAGCUGAGGAUGAACUGAGACGUGAGCAGUUGGAACAAGUAUGUGACUUCGCCACGCAUUACAUGUGCCACACUUGCUCCCUCUGCCAGGAAGGUCGUGAGCUGCGUCGCAGGCUGCCCCACCCCGGGCUCAAUAUGCGACCAGUCUUACUUAUGAUGCCUCCCAUGGAACAAACCAUGGGCCGUGGUGCCUGAUGUGUCUGCAUCAUUUCAUCUUCUUCAAGCUAAACUGAAGUUAUUGUAGACCAGGGUAGUUUAUAUAUGCAUGUGUAUGAAUCUAUACUUGUCUCCCUGACAGUACGGAGUUAUGGCGUGUAUGAUAAGAGGUUCUAAUAUGAAUCCAUUACGGAAUCCCUGCCAGUACCGAGUGUAUGAUAGAUUCCCUGCCAGUACGGAAUCUAUACGACUGAAGUUGUGCAGUGUUAAGGCCCUUUGAUCUUUCUUAUUACAGCAUCUUGUCAUGUCUGGGAGUGUAAUACGAAUCCAUUGCUAUUUAUCUGGUUAGAUUGCAGCUAUAACCCAUUUUAGCAGGGAUAGAAUGGAUUGGUACCUAAUAUCUAUCUCUUGUUAGGAAUUGUUAAGCAAGCUGAACUGCUUGAAGUGUUUGGCUUUUGGACUGGUAAAGAUGAGGCUUAGAUUUGGACUGGAUGGUAAAGCAUGAGGUAUAAUUUGCCAAAUGAUAGAAGGUUACAAAAAGAUGUGAUUUUUAUAUGUUUGCUAGAAAUAGUUUGUAUUGGUAAUUGGUAUAAAUGACAUGUUAUAUAUCAUAUGUACUUUAUUUUUCAUGUAUUUUAAUUAACUUGAUCACAGCUAAAUCAAAAUAAGGCUUCCUUCAAUUUUUGUCCUUUCUUUUACAUUUAAAAUAAAUUUACCCAGAAAAUAUGUAUCAAUUUUGUUGAAAUGUAAUAUAUAAGUAAUAACGUACAUAUGAAAUAUAAAAUCGAAUUUGGGUCAAACUAGAUUGUAUAUAAUCGACUUAAUAUGGUUGUACAUAUAUAUUAUAUAUCGUGAAACUAAAUGAAAUAAAAAUAAAUCGCUGCGUAUAUUUCAUCGUUAACAUGGAGAUUUGCGAGCUCCCUUUCGUCUGAUCUAAGAUGGACGGUCGAUGGUGCAACAGAGCGGCUACAUAUUAUUUUUGUUCCCGUUGCUCGGCGAAUCGGCUACGUACUUCGGAGUUUAGACCACAAGAAGUCGAUACCGCGGCGAAGAUGGUGAGCAUUCGAAACCCUAGAUUCUUUCCCUUACCUUUCUUCUUUUUCUGUCUUCGAUGUUUCUUCGCCUUCUGAGAUCUGAUCUCGAUUAACUCAUUUGCUGUGCAGACUUUCAAGCGAAGGAACGGCGGUCGCAACAAGCAUGGCCGCGGUCACGUUAACUUCGCCCGCUGCUCCAACUGCGGAAAGUGCUGCCCCAAGGUUUCAUCUUUUUCUUCCUUAACCUUCUCGCCUUCAGCGAUUAAUUCUUUUCGAUUUUGGCUGAUUUCUUGAGAAUCUGACCUUGAAAUCCUGAUAGCGGGAUCACAUUUCUUGGUUUCCGUCUGUUUCGUGAUUCACCCAUCAUGAAUGUAUGUGAUUAGUAACGCAACUCGCGGCUGUUAAUUUCUUCCGGAAUGACAAGGCGAUUAAGAGGUUCCUCGUGAGGAACAUAGUGGAGCAGGCUGCCGUCAGGGAUGUUCAGGAGGCUUGUGCUUAUGAGGGUAAUCGCUCACUUUUCUUGCUUAUAAUCCUAAUCAGAAUACUGUUCCCUCCUCUUUGGUGCAACAUAUAUUGUUUUUUUACCUUAAUUUGUUCCAUAUCUUAGGGUACCUUCUUACAAAAUUAUAUAUCAAGAUGCAGUACUGUGUCUCUUGUGCAAUCCACUCGAAUGUUGUUCGGGUGAGGUCUCGCACGGACAGGAGGAACCGUGAGCCGCCGCAGCGUUUUAGACGCCGGGUACUAUUUCUCUGAUGAUUUUUUUGCAUUCAUCUAUUCUAUCAUAGUUUUAUUUACCGAUAUGUCUGUAGUAGCAUUAUUUUCUAUCAACAGGCUGUUUUUUACUGUCUCAAAAUCAAAAUUUGCAUAUGGUUAAUAUCUGUAUCGAUGGUGUUUGUAUGCAAAAAAUCCAAGUUAGGGGAUAAAGAACUCAUAAUGUUGUGUAGUUUUGAAGUCAAUUAGCUUUCUUUAGAUAUUAUAUGGAUUGCUAAUCAUAUAGUGCUUAAUGUGUAACCCAUGUAAAUGAUUCCUUUCUCAAAACCAAUUCACAGAUGUAAAUCCAUCUGUAUUUUAGCGAGUAAAUUUUACAGAUGUAAAUGCAAAGCUUUAUUUUCUUCCAUGAUUCUCCUGUGUAGUAUAUGUUAACUUCCUUCAAUGGAUAUGUUCUAGUUGGAUUCAUAUUUCUUAGGUCAAUGACUGGUUUGACUUGGGCACAUUCUUUUUGAUGCUUGAACUUUUUAAUUUAUUUAGGGAUAGUAAGAAUUCAUUUGGGUGCGCAGAGUUUGUUGACCCUAUUAAUGCCAAGUGUAAUUCAUGAUUAAAAGGUGUUCAUCAUACUAGUAUAUUUUGCAAUCUUUCAGACAUGUAUAUAGAAUUUGCACGGCUAACGUAUGUGGAAUUUAUAUAUGAAAUUGUCUAUAGUAACCUAAGCUUGAUCAUGUUAAGAACCAUGGUUAAAGGCCUGUUCUGUCUUUAGCAGUGAUCCAAUGGUGUAUCAGGUCAUGGCAAUUAUCAUUGGAGUGGAUGCAGGGGCCGCAUAUAUGUGAAUUACCUGAUUCUGUAGGGAAAGGUCUUUCAUGAAUGUUGCAAGUUCAUGGUUCGAUGCGAAAACUAUCCAUGACCGUAAAUGUCAUGGUAUCGCGGUACUGUACAACCCACAGCUCGAAGUCUCCAACAUCAACAAUUACCCCCGUCAACAUGACAAUGUAUGGCUGAAUUCGAAAGUAGUUUGAAGGUCUUAAGCUUUUAGCAGAAAGUUUGUAUCAGUGGCUGUGAUGAUGAGCAUGAACAUUUGAUGCUGCUGCUAACUGGAUUAAAAAUACUGGUUAGCAGUUUCUGUUGACUAAUUAUGUGCAUAUGUUCAUCGGACAUUAUCUUCAGAAAAUGUUUGGAGGUAAUUAUUUUGAAUGUAAUAGACAUUAUUAUGAAAAGUAAUCAUGUUAAUCAUGAGUAGGUUUUCCAGUGAUCUCUCUUAUAUGGCUUUUUUCGUUAGGUGGUGUUACUGAACAAAUAUGUCGUGGUUGGUGAGUUAGCACGGCUAGAUCCAUGAGUCGAUGUCGGGAGCCUACUGCGAGGUGAUAUGGAUGAAGAGGUGGCCGGGCCCUCGGGAGGGAGUGCUGGUUGGCGUUGGUCGGGAUCAGGGCUGAUUAACAACUCCACACUGCCGGGCGACUGGCGCUCCCGUGUCGAGUCCCUCGCCGUCAACGAGGGGUCGUCCUCCUGCAAAAAUGGCCUUCGCCGGGUGGUUCCUGGCUGUGGCCCCUCCAACGAGCAAGUUAGUAACGAAAGAGAUUGCUUUUCUUUUUUCCUUUUAUUUUUUGUGCCUCUUCCUUUUGGUCGGUCGGCUAGGGGUUUUAUACUAUAACACGAGGGUUGAUGGUGCAUCGAUUCGAUGUCGUUGCUGACCCUCGAGGGAUGGGACGACCCUUCUGACUGGCCGUCAUUCUGGGACGUGCAGAGCGGCGUCAAACGGCACCGCCUCGAGCUCCCAAGAUGGGAUGUGUGACAUAUCUUCUUUGUACGAGCUUCCGGGACGGGACGUGUGGCAUAGGACUCUGACUUGACGUGUGGUGUCAGCUGUGAUAUGUCCAGAUCACCAAAAUAUAUCAUAUCAUGUGGUAUUUUAUUUUUUCCAUUAAGCAGUAAAAACAUGUGUAUCUUUCCCAAAUAUUUUAUUGUAUGAAUGUUGAAUGCCUAACUUUUCCCAUUAUUUCCUGUAAUGCAGGAUGAUCUUGCAAGACCUGGUCAAGGUCCUCGUCCAGUUGCGGCUGGAAAUCCUGCUGCUCGUCCAUGAUGCCGAGGUUUUCUGUGGACUAUAUUGUGAGUAAAAUAAAGAAAAUUAUCCAUUUAUUAUCAUAUUUCUUGGUUUCUGUUUCAUGUUCCUACAACUCUGUUCGUCGAUGAUGUUUUUUCAUUAUCGAAAGAUCCAUAUUUCCGCAUUCUCGCAUCUUAACCAUUAUACUAUAUGACGGGUGGGGGGAUUACAUGGCCGAAUGGGAGUGGUGACGUGAUGCGAUACCGCCAACUCCUCCGCCGCCGCCCCCCCGCCCGCCUCUUCCGGAUUUCAAACCCAUGUCGGAACCCCAAAGCAAGGAGCGACCUUUCAUCCCCCUCUCUCUCCUCUCACCCAGAGAAAGAACGUGCGGGCCUCGUUUGACCGUGCGCCGAAACCACUUGCAAUCCUUCUUCUUGGCCUACCCCGUCGUAUAUUCGCGGAAUGUAAGUUUCUCUGAUCUGGAUACCAUGUCCAAACAUCUUCCCAGAUUCUGACUCUUUCUGAUCCCCUCCUCUCUUUCUCUCAGUACAAUCAUUAUCACAAUUUACAUCCAAAAUGUGGUAAAAGGAUCGGUCGAGAGGUCUCGGUGGAAGGAUGAGUUGUUUCUCUUGUUUCUCAUCCCAGGAGAGGAGGGCGUCGAGGAAGUUCGACGCCAAAAAUGGCCCGCCACCGGCGGCACCUUCACCUGCCCCUCCCCGUGAAGUGGCUUCUGACACAAGCACCGAGUUGAGCGGAACGCCAGGCGAGCCAUCUCAUUUACUCUAACAACACCGGAUGCGAUGUCAACUGUCUUCCAUCAUUGCAUACGUACCCGUUCUGUGCAGCAAAUGGCACGCCCAAGUCACAGACCACUGCGCCCGAGGCAUCCACCUUUAAGGAGGCCAGCAACGAUAACAUCGCAGCUCAAACGUUCACUUUCCGCGAGCUCGCGUCGGCUACCAAAAAUUUCCGCCCUGAGAGUCUUCUCGGCGAAGGCGGGUUCGGAAGAGUUUACAAAGGGCGCCUCGACAAACCCGGUCAGGUAAUCUCUACUGAUUCUUAUUGUUUAGCGGUCGAGGACGAAAUCAUACAAAUCGUCUAUGACGACAGGUUGUGGCUGUGAAGCAACUGGACAGAAGUGGCCUCGAGGGCAACAAAGAAUUCCUCGUUGAGGUUCUAAUGCUCAGUCUCCUCCACCAUCAGAACCUGGUCAGCCUGAUUGGAUACUGCGCGGACGGAGAUCAGAGGAUGUUGGUAUACGAGUACAUGCCUCUUGGCUCCUUAGAAGAUCAUUUGCUCGGUGAGUCGCAUGCAUCCUUUUGCUUGUCUUGCCUUUUCCCCUUUCUCGUCACCGCUGUGCGCGCGGGCGCGCUGCAUUACCCUCGCAGAGAUCAGUCCGGAUCAAGAACCACUCACUUGGUACACCAGGAUGAAGAUAGCUUUGGGUGCCGCCAAAGGCUUGGAGUACCUGCACCAGAAAGCCAACCCCCCUGUCAUCUUCCGCGAUCUCAAGUCAUCCAACAUCUUGCUCGACGAGGACUAUGACGCGAAGCUCUCCGACUUCGGGCUCGCCAAGCUUGGCCCUGUGGGAGACGAGCUACAUGUCUCCUCCAGGGUCAUGGACACGUACGCCAGAACCGGUCAGCUCACCCUGAAGUCCGAUGUGUACAGUUACGGGGUCGUCUUGCUGGAGCUGAUAACAGGGAGGCGAGCCAUCGACACCACCAGACCGACGGACGAACAGAAUCUGGUCACCUGGGUAUCAUCCAUGCCAUUCUUCCGAUGAUCUUUGACGUGGCUCUUGAUUCGUUCCGGUUUCUGUAGGCACAACCGAAGUUCAGGGAUCAGAUGAGGUACCGCGAGCUGGUCGAUCCGCUUCUUCGGGGGGAGUACGCCGAGAGAGGGCUGAAUCAGGCUGUCGCCGUGGCGGCUAUGUGCCUGCAGGAGGAGGCUGAGGUGCGCCCGUUCAUGACCGACGUGGUUGCGGCCUUUAGUCAUCUUACGGCAGCAUCGACCGAUAGUGAAGGGAGCAUCGAGAGAAGGGUGGACGGCGAGGGGAAGCGAGAUGAGAAGAUGGAUGGGGAUCGGCAGCGUGCUGUUGCAGAGGCCAUGGAUUGGGGUUCCGAGUUCAAGGCACGGCCAGGGGAACCUCCAUGAAGCCGGAGCUUAGUUCUCCGCUCUGGUCUCUUUCUCCUUUGCUUCCUCGAGUGGAUCGAUGGGCGAAGAAGAAGUCGAUUCUUAGCUUUCACUGUAGCAAUCGUGUGCAUACGUUCAUGAUUGGCAUCUGUCGCUGCACCAUAUGCAUGCGUUGGGUGACACGAUGCAUUCACGGCUUUUAAGCAUCGAAGUGUGGGUGAUAGAUGUAAGAAUCAGUUGGCGCUCUCCUAACUCUUGUCGAUGACCAUCGGUGUGUGUAUAUAUAUAUAUAUAUAUAUAUAUAUAUAUAUAUAUAUAUUCAUCAAGAAAACUCAUGUUCAUGAUGCCAAAUGUUAGUCUCAGAAUUGAUCAUCAAUCCGAAUUAUAUGAGACAAUCUGACUCUAUAUCGAUCUAAAAUCUCAGAAACCAUCUGAAUCUCUAUAAGCGAGGGAGAAUUGACGACUUGAAUCCUUAGGGACGAGUUACAUCACCACGUCUACAUAUGCAGAAAAUGACUGUUGUCAAGUUUUUCCGAACAAGAUUUCUUUAGAUCAUAAAUUAGCCAACGCAUGAGUAAUCAUAAUACCAAAACAUUGAAUAGUUGAUAGGGAAAGCAUGCACUGCUAACUUGUCAGCUGCCACUUGGAACAUGGAAGGGCUUGUUCGCUCCUUCAAGUGAUCGUCGAUCGGAACAUGAAUCUCGAGAAAAUCAUAUGAGUUGACCAUCGAUACAUGGUGACCAAACCCAUCCUCUCGGCUUCCCCCUCGAUCACGUCAUCGACCGCUAACGACUCCUCACUCUCGAUUAUGAUUUCAAAAGGUCUCAUACUCUUAAUCAUAUAAAGCAUUAAUCCUAGACAGUGUGGUCAAGCUUCCCUCUCUAGGCACCUGACGCUAAGCAUCAUCCCUUGUCCAUUUUAAGCAUACCCCUAGUCGUCCUUCCCCGACACAAUCGACGGGAAGACAUGUUCACUAACCGCUAUAUAUGAACCCCUACCAAUAUAAGAGGCUCGAGGGAGGACGAGCAGUUAGCCACCCUCCAUCGACGAACCAGGUAUAAAAAACUAGCUCCCAAAAUCAAACGAGGUAAGUAGGAUCAUCAUAAACUUUUCUGAGCUCCACUAAACUCUCUCCACAUACUCUACUAACUUAAGCAUCAAAGGGUUGAAUUGAGAUACUUUUCGACACUGACCAUUUAUGCAAUAUCCCGACACAUCCAUGAAGUACCUCGAGGUGACACAAAGCGUUUUUAGACAAAACCAAGGUGCUUCUCGGGACGACCCCGAGCUUUAUUCAACAGGUUAACUGCACCUCGGGACAACCAUAAGUCAAUCAUCGUAAACCUUCAACGUCUCAGAAGUCACUUGUCAUCCUAGCCUCCCGCUUAAAUCGCACCUAGGUGAUCCGAGUGGGCUUUUCGUAUGGUCCAUAUUUUCGGGACAAAAUUAAACCAUGUUGACUUUAUAAUUUACGACAACCAAGCAACAACAAUAUUAAAUAUAUAGUAGUUGAGAAAUCAUGAAAAUAAAAAUAUUCAUGAGUAAUCAUAAUAUUAAAUUAUAUUUUAAACAGAGAAUAGAAAAGAAUCACACGUAAGGGAUCCUAGUAUAGUCGGAGCAGUCAUGUAUCUAACCACAUAUAGAAAUAUUAAUCAAAUAAAAAAUUAUUUAGACAAUACUUUUGCUUGGAUUUGCAUUGACAAUUGAGAAUCUUUUAUAUUUGAAUUUGUGUUGACAUAGUAGACCAUGGAUUUUUAUAUUUUCUACUAUUGCGACAUCUACGCGGUUAUGGAAAUAUAUAAAAAAUAGAUUAACAAUAUUUUUAUUAUAAAAAAUAUGAUUAUAUUUAUUAUUACUAUGCACUUGGUUGUGGCUAAAUACAUGUCAUUACUGUUGUAAAUCCAAACCAUUAAGCAAAAACAAAAAAAAACUUACUGCCAAAAAAUCAAGCAUUAAUAUCUCAAAAAGUGAUAGAAUAUAUAAAUAAAAGACUUCCUUUUUCGAUAUAAUAUUCGAACAAAUAAAAAAAUGAAAAGAAGGAAAAUAGUUUAAUUUGCCAAACAACAUCAAACGUGAAGUUUUCCGAUAUUUUUCUUCCACAAAAGUCUUCACGAGACCAUAUACGAAAUAUUCGGUGUUUGUUUAAUGGAGAAGACAAAUUUUUUUGAAGAUAUCAUGGCUAAAUAUUCAUAUAAAAAUGUAAUUUUUUGGGGGCUUUCCAUCUCAACAUCUGAGAGAAAAAUUACAUAUCAUGUUGUUUUAAUUAUUUUCAAUAGUUUUUACCACCAAGUACAAGAAAAAUGCAAUUGCAUUUGUUCUUCGUCGAAGCCACCAAUCGUUGUUUGUCCUUUUACCUUUUCUUCUUACAAUUAAACUCCCACCUAUAAAACAUGAAAUUUUCUUUUCUUUAACUCUUUAGUUUUCUUUUAUUUUCCUUCUUUCUUAUAUAUAUAUAUAUAUAUAUAUAUAUAUAUAUAUAUAAAAUUAAAAAAUAUAAAUAGUGAAGGUGAGAUUUGAUCCCAUAAUAUCUUACUAUUAAUGGCUAAAGCCUUUUACCAACCAAGCUAAUUAAAAAAUUAAUAUCAUAUAUGUUAUUAUAUUAAAAAUAACAUCUUUAUAUAUAUAUAUAAAAUAUGAAUUCAUAUAAUAUAUGUUAUUUGGUGCAUUAUGAAGUAUAAUGUAAUUUAAGAUAUUUAUAUACAAAAUUGAAACAUAAGAUUUUUAUUUGUCAAUUCAAAGACAAAAAUAGCACUUUUGACUUCAAAAUCGCUAACAUUUCUUAUAAUAGUCAAUGAUCAUUAAAGAUCCAAUUUGGUACAGAAUUAAUGAAAAAAAAUAAAACUGAGACUAAAUUAUGAGUAAUUAUUUUUUUGUAUAUUUAUUUUGUCAUUUUUUUAAUGGAGUUUUGCCGAUAGGAUUGACAAACCCUAACGUCCUCCCCAACUAACGAAACUAUCACCUUAUCGUGGUCCGGCGGAGCACCAUAAAACCGCCCCUUCUUACCCGACGGAGGCCAACUCUGUCUUCCUAUAACGCUGCCGAGACCCUUGUUCUCUCCUCCUCCGUUCCGCGCUCCGGUCAAAUCCAUUUGACGCUCGCCGGAGUGGCAUUCCGCUGCACUCUCGCCAUUCUCUCCUGUCUCGACGCGCGAGGCCUAUCCACCAACCGAAGAAGCCUAGGGUUUCGAUCCGGCGCCGAUGGCGGCGAUGACGGCGGCGGGUUGGGGCGAGCGGGCGGUCGGGCUUCUCGAGUCGGCAAGAACGGCCGGCGAGGUGCCUUCGAAGCUGAAGCAGCUGCGGCAGUUGAAGGCGGUCCUCUUGCACCGCGACCCACCCCUAUUGCCCGAGUUCGUGACGCGCCUCACCGAGCUCCAGAGUGAGCGGGCCAGCCCCAUUCGAAAGUUCCUCGCCGAGUAAGCCCCCUUUCUGUUUUGCUUUCUUGGUUUUCUUCUUCGUUUCUUUCGGCUCCCUGUUCGUGUUCGUGCUUUUCGAAAUUCGGUGAUGCGUGAGUGAUGGAGGGGCGACCUUUGCCUCCAUCCGUUGGUUAGAGUAGAGAAAGAAAGAGAAGAGGAAGAUCUUUUCCUUCCAAGAAAAUGUGUUUCUGGUCACAAGGCGUCUCUUUUUGUAUUCGGUAGCACGCGAAUUUACAGCCGAGCCAAAUAGAUUCUUAGUUGAUUGGUUGCAAUAGAAAAUGAAUGAAAAGAGGAAGUCAUUUUUCUUCCAAGAAAAAUGGCUGAUUUGAUUCUUGGUUGACUGAAUUUACGUGAAUUUAUCUUUUUCUAUUUGGUGAUAUGGGAAUUUACAGAAGGACUGAAUUGAUUCUUGGUUGACAUGACAUAACUUGCGGAAAGACACGCGGGGAACUGGUAUGAACCUGGAUCAUCAGCAAGAGGGAAGGAAAUGAUAUAGGUUUGAGAAUCUGAAGCUGCAGAAAUAUUCUGUAACAGUCUAUUUCAUGAAACCAGCAGUCCAUUAGAUGAGACGUUGGCAUCCAAGAGUCAAUUAUCCUAUUAUAGCUCCGGUGACAUGACAUAACUUGCCUAACUACGACCGACUGGUCCUAUUAGAAUGGGAAACAGAUAAUUUUAAAUUGGUUGAUGAAGGCAUUUGUUGGUAGUUUUCAGUGAUUCAUGUAACUAGUAAGGGCUUUACAGUAACUACAUUCCUUUAGGAUGAAUCUUUUCUUCUCAAAAAGUUAAACCUUCUUCUAUCUGUUUGCUCACUCGAUUUCAGGUUACUGUACAUUCCUCAUCACUCUAAAACAUCAGGUCUUAACUUUAGCCAUGUUAUCCAUUUAUAUAGAUACAUUUUGAUUAUAUAUGCUUGUUAAUAUUUCUGUAUGCCCCAAAAUUAAUUAUAUUCAGACAUAUUUUUUAGAACAUUUUUUUUAUCAUUGCCUCUGUGCUACUGCUAUCAUUUAAUAAGGACUUAUUAUUGACUACAAAUAUAUUAUAGUCUGAUGCUGAAGUGAUAAUCCGAUAGCGACAGCUGAUAAGAAUUGAUGAAUACAAUUACAGAGUGAUAAGAUCAUAUGGAAAGAUACAAGGGCCCACGGUGAAACAUUCUCUUUGCUUCCAUAUCAUGGAUAUUUGUCAAGAUGUUCCAACUCAACUGUUGCUUCAAAUUCAUGAACAAGCUGGGAAGAAUAAUUUGUAUUGCUUUUCUUUUUCUUUCACUUGUGCAUCUCUUUUAUAAUGUAUAUGGGUCCUUCUAGGGUCCUAUUAAUUAAAGGUUGGAACUAGAAGAUUGGUUUCCAUGCUUCCAUUGAUGUUGUGUUAAAUGUGCUUGAAAUUAGCUAUAUUGGUUUUAUAACAGGAAACUAAUUCUUGUAGACACCCAUUCAUAGACUAAAUGGCUUUAAAGUGCAUCAUAAACAUGGUUCAAGUGUUUGUGAAAGUUUGAUAGUAGCUUUACCCGAUCUAAUACAGGUCAGCCCUAAUUAAAACAUGGGACGAAUCCUUCACAUCUCAAUAUUUUGUUAUGCUGAUUCCCUUUGCCCUAACUUAAUUCUUGCACUUAGUAUUUUUUAAGGUUUGUAAUGGAACUUUCUUCAUGCUUCUAAUUAACGUAGGAUGAUUGGUGACAUUGGAUCCAAGCAUAUAGAAUUGCUGCCGGAGAUGGUUCCUUGUCUAAUAGCCUUUUUAAAGGAUGAAACUCCGGCUGUCGCUCGUCAAGCAAUUACAACGGGGACCUCUCUGUUUGGAUAUGUGUUAGAAAAGCUUGUAAUUCAGGUUAGAUUGAUGCAUUUAACUUAAAUUUACAGAUGGAUGAGUUCUCUUUAAGUUGUCAAUGACAUACUGUUAUGUUUUAUCUCUGUUUAUGGGUUUUGAUGAUUUAAUCUCCAUGUAUAGUUACUGGUUUAGAUGGCUUUUUUCUAGGUUCUUCUGUAUAUUUAAUAUUUACUUUAAAUUGCCACAAGUGAACGGUUAUAUACUAGAAUUAUUAGCGGUCAAUUGCAAUGACUUAAGCGCUGGGAGAACUUUUAGAUCUCUGAAUUUUGAGAAAGAAGGCAGCAAAUUAUUGACCUAUUGUGUAAGAAUUGUGUCAUAUAUUAGUUUGCCCACCAUAUGUGGGCAUAAGUAACAUUCACCAGUAUUAUCUUCUCUUCUAUGUUCAUGGUAUAUAUGCCAUGUUAGAUAUCAUGAAUGCAUGGUGUUCUGUUGACCAUGCUAAAGAAAUAUGAGUAAGUUUGGAAUACGUGUAAUGGGCCAUGUGAGUGUCAAAUUUGGUAGCCAAUUCAAAGUGUUGAGAUUGAUCUCACUUAGUUAGCUUUUCCAAAUCUUGUUGCAUUUGAGGUUCAAAAGUCUACACAAAUAUUGAGGUGAGGUCUUCACUCGGAAUUCCAACUUGGAAUCUUGAGAUGUGGGUGGGGUUGUAGAUUCUUGAGUUGAGUUCCUUGGGGAACUAUUCAAGCAGCCUUGCCGGCUUGAGUGAAUGGUUUGGCUCCCGAAUCGGUCUUUGGACUCCCUACAAAACAUGUUCUGUGGGUGUGCUCGUCAAGACCCCUCCGACGUUCAAGUUGGAAAAUGCCUGAGGUAGGGGCUGAAGAUCGAGAAGGUCCAAGUAAGAAUUGGAAGUGCUAAAGAGAGCAUACUGUACUUCGAGAGACCCUUAUUCAUAGUCCGGAGAUCCUAGCUAUAAGUGCUAGAUGAAUAUUUUUUGAAUCAACAUGAUAAGCCUUGUUGGCUUUUCUUAUUAUUUUGUGGCUGACUUGGUUCCCUACGUUGAGUGUUGAUUGGUUGAAAAAUAUUCGUCAUAUCAUAGAUAUGACUAUGAUCAUUGAUUUAACAUAUAAUAGAAUCAACAAAAUCAACAAGUGAUGCUGGAAUCAUAAUCUGCACGCUUCCUAGGCAUAUCGUAUAGACCUGCACUACCGGAGAGACUAAUGCGAUGCUGGAAUCAUAAUCCGGACACUUCCUAAGCCUUUCUUUGAACCUGUCUUUUAAGUGGUCAAGGCGGUAUGUCGAUCAUUCUAACGAAAACAUCUCCCUGAUCCGAUUCCGAAUAGCUUUUCUACCUCUGCAAGCUCUGUCAGGUAACCCGCUUAUUUGAAUGAAUAGAUUCCCUUUCUACCUUCCACGAGCUUACAGGUCUGUCGAAGGGGGGUCAACUUAGCUUCGUAUUCUUCACGGGCUAGCAGAAAGGGAUGGGAACCUGUCAAUCACAGCUUAAGGCUUAGAAAGGGAUGGCAGCCUCUCUCAAUCACAGCUUCAGGCUUGCGGAUUCUUUUCUCUCUAUCUCUCUCCUCCUGGUGCGUUGGAAUAGCAUUAUCUGACAGGUGGGUGACUGACCUUAGUCUUGUUCCCUUCUUUUACACCAUGAGAUGUGAUUACAAUUGGAUGCCAACAAUCUCGAGAAAAGGCACUCCUCAUGCCAAUACACAAGGGUUCCAUGAAGAAUAAGAUAGCCAUUUACUGGUUUUGAUACCAUAUCCACUGUGACAAAGGUCAUAGCAGGGAAAAACACUUCAUUCACAGCCAGGAAAGAAGGCUUAAGGGAGGUUCCUGAUUCCUUGACCUAUGCUUCGAUUGAUCUCUAUGCUUUGUUGACCUUGGAACUAUAUUCCUCUUUUUUGAUUGACCAGCGGGAUUCCUAGGUUUUGUCAUCGCCUUGCCCACACCUUCCUUCCCUGAGCUCACCUCCUCUACCACCUUUCUAUAUGCCAUUAGGAGAAGUCAGUCUGUCUGCGCAAUCCGCAAUCAUAAAUAUCUAUAACAAUAAACUAUAUCUCAAAAAAUCUAACAUAAAGAAAUUAGCUAGCAAACAAAUAAUAUUGGAAAUAUAGUAACAUUAGGCCAUAAUAUCCCAACUAUUAUGUCAUAAGCGUUAGGCCAUAACCAUUUUCUCUUCGUGGAUCUUUUGAGGGAAGGGGAUAAUAUAUCCAUGCUCAAUAAGAUUUGACAAAGUUCUAUAUUGGUUUCAAUUGCAUUAUGUAACCCUUCUUUUUUAUGCUCAUGGUCAAUGAUGAAAAAUUAUACGACCUGAUCCGAUGGAAUAACUAACUCACUAACUUCAUUGAUCGAAACUGAACAACUGUCCGAAAGUGCUUGAGUCCAAGCUAGUGGUAGAAUUCCUAUCACAUCAUUAUUAGCAAAUUCAAAUCUUUUGCCAACUUCUCGAUGUGAGACUAAACUUGUGGUCAUUAUGAUCUAUCCCAUUUUAGGGCUUGACAAACUUUUCAAGCUCGAAUAUGACCCAAAAUUAAAACUGCAUGCAAGGUCGAGUUAUAAAAGUAAGGAAUGACUGGUAAUUUGUGGCCAAAAAAAUUGUUGUUCCUGGUAAAAACCUUGAGAGUAUGUGUUACUACUUACAAUACCUGAUGGGAUAUUAAUGGCAUACUACAAAAAGUGUGAAUUGUUUUGUUGUAUGUGUCGCUUAGCAUAGUCAAGUUAUAAAAGCAAGAGGACUGCAUGACCAGACAAGCAUAUUCUAGUUCCUGGCUGAUAGACAAAAGUAGCUCAAAUUACGAUUAGGUGAUAGUAGCCUUUAGUUUAAAAUAAUAACCGCUAGAUAAACCGUCGAGUUCUGCUGGAGCUGAAGUAUAAGGUGGUAGUAUUAAAAAAAAAGGGUGGUGGUAGUAUUAGAAGGUUGCUGAAGUUGAAGUUGCCUGGAAAAAAGAUACUUCCAUAUGGUGAUGUGAUGUUAAACUACUUUCUACAUUUGAGGUGGUAGUUCUCCAUUAUGAAGGGAGAGAAGGAUAACAAAUGAGCCAGCUGAAAUAUACAAGAAGAAUGUUGAUACAUUCACCUCUUUGUUUUGGGAUCUUAUUUCUCAAGUUUAAGUUAAAGUUGGUGAUUGCUUCAUUCGAGUUAUGCCUGAUUUUUAUUCUAUUUUGUUCUUAAAUCUUGAGAGUGACAUAACAUGUUCGAGAAUGCUAUUUUUGUAUGUUUUGGGAAAAAUAAGUUCAUCUGCUUUUUUUUGAAAACCUGUUUUGCUUUGAAAAUUUUAUAGAAAUGAAAGGUUGUUAUGAGUGCCCUACCUGGGCUGGGUUUUAAUUAGUGUGUCUGUGUGUGACAUGUAAUAUCCUGAGUGUGCAUUAGUUGCAAGAAACCCCUCCUUUUUGUUGAACACCAAGCUUGUUCCUGUUUUGAGACCUGAAGAUAAUAACAGAAUGUUGUUUUUUUCUUUUGAUCAUGGAAAAACUGAAUGAUUUUAUUCAGCAUCAAGUAUGAUGUUAAAGGGCAUUCUCUUCUUCUUCUUAAUAAACAUAUAUUGAUGAUUAUUAAACUAGAAUCUUCAUGUUCAUCCAUGGUUGACUACAGUCACAUAAUUGUCAUGGUGAUCUUAUCAUGUUCGCAUAUCUUGUUCAUUAUUUGACUUGUAGUUGAUGAGUAUGAAGGUGAGACUGUCAAAAUAUUGUUGUGCAGAAGCGUCCUAGAACAUAUGUAUCAAAAUCUUGUAUUUCAAAUAUUGGUUAUUUCUACUAAAUUGCCAUCACAUUUGUUGAAAUAUAUGACAAUGACAUAAAUAGUAAAGAAAACAUGGGUAAAACAGUUGUGCUCAACUAAGGUUGAUUCUAGAGAUUCUUCUUUGUCGUAUAUGUUUAAGAACAGAAGUGUUUGGCAGCUAUUGGAGGAGCAGAAAUGGUAAACAUGAUGUUGGAGAGGAAGCUGCACCACUUCUUGCAUACAUAAUUUUUACUAACAACCCGGCAGAACUGAUUCAUAUCUUGUAUUACUUCUGAAAUUGGUGUCUUGGUGUACUAGUGAAUGUUGUAUGCCGUUACUAUCAAUACAUGUAGAAAUGUGAAGGCAAUGACAACAAAAUUAACAGUCAAGUAAGAUAGUGUUUCUUGAUUAAAUUAUUGCAAAUGAGGAUUACAGAUGAUUGUUUGUUGUUUUUUGGUUUAGGGUUUAUACUCUAGUGAAAUAGAUGACUCCACUAAAUCAUCUUGGGCAUGGAUGCUAAAGUUCAAAGAUGCAGUACUCCAUAUUGCUGUCCAGGUAUUUUUUAUGUUAUUCUCUCGGCGCUUUAGAUUAAUUUGAGAUGCUUUGCUACCAUUCUGAUAGAAUAUUUUCUCACCUAGUCUGGAAGUGAUGGAGUUAGGUUGCUUGCUGUGAAAUUUGUUGAGACAUUGGUUCUUCUUUAUACACCAGAUCCUUACAUUUCCGCAGAUCCACCUCAAGAACCUGUCUAUGGUAAUUAUAAACUUCUAAAUUCAGAAAAGAAAUAAUUUCAUAUUUUGACUACCCAUUUUACUGCCAAAAUAAUGAAAUGUUCAUUGUACUUAUUACAGGGCUAGGUUUCAAUAUUUCAUGGCUAAGGGGUGGUCAUCCUUCGCUUAAUGUUGGAGAGCUAGCCAUGGAAGCCAGUCAGAGCUUGGGAUUAUUACUUGAUCAUCUGCGGUCCCCACAAGUGAAAUCACUUAGUAACUCAAUAAUUAUUGUGCUAAUCAAAAGGUUAGUUUUCCUUGCCUUACCUCACAUUUGAUAAUGUCCAUUCAUGUAGUCUUUGGACUGAGCAAGAGCAUUCUUACCUUCCUCUGCAUUUGGAAGGGUGGUGUUGGAACACCUCUCAUUUUCUUAUAACUUGUUGAAGCAGUCAUGCAUAGGAACAAAAGUGCAAUUGAUUUAUCAUAUACCCAUUUGGAUAUGUUUACUUUAGAUUAGUUCUUUUACAGAAUUUGUUUAUUGCUUCUUUUUUUUCCUUCCUGUAAACAUCUUUGAUAGACAAAGAGCAUCAUGCCUUGUGUUAGAAGUUUAUCCUUUUGAUAUAGUACAUGGGAGGCAUAUAACAAGAAAUAUUCAACUUGAGACAUUUUAGAUUAUAAUAGGCUAAUAAUUUUGGACUUUGAAAUCAAUUAGCCAUGAAGUACAAAUGUCUUUUCCUUAUAUUUUUUAUGGGGAAUAUUUUGUCAUGUGCAAGGUUUUAAAUACCGGAUGUACCACUUUGUAUGAGUUGGUAUUUUUUGAUCUGAUAGGGAACUGGCAUAGACUGGGCGAGUUGUCUGCUAUAGCCUGAUACUUACUAGUUUGAUAGGGAAACUGUGCAUGGGCUGAGCAAUUUGCUCGGUCCAAUCGAAACCUGUAAUUUUUUCAAAAUUUCCUUUCUGGCUGAAAACUGUUGUUGAUGGCCUCGACAACCUUUUCUCUUAUUCCUUUUCUUUUCUCAUUUUCUUCCCAUUUUCCUGUCUCUUCCCUCCACCUUGUAGCCUUGACUGUUGCUGCUCCCAUCUAACUGUUGUUACUGUCACCGCACCUUCUCCCCCUCAUAUAGCCACCCGCCAUCUCAUUUGGUACAAUUUUCUUCUCCUCAUCUUCCUUCUCUCCUCCUCCUCCAUUGCCACCACCUCCCUCCCUCCUCCUCCUCCUCGUCCUCCUCCACUACCAUUGUUUCUCCUCCUCGACUGGACUCAUGGUCGGCAUGGUCGGUAUGCCCCACCAUACUGGAACCAUACUCGAUUCAACCAGGGACUAGUAUAGGUUUCGGACUAAAAAUUUAAACCUUGAACAUAUUACUCAUUUAUUAUCGUUUGUGGAACCUUUAUGCAAUCAGUUUUUUUGGUCAUCAUUGUUUUCACAUCAGUAGUUUUUGUCAUUUAAAUACAUAUCAUUGUGAUAUCUGUUGUCAUCUGUUUCAACGAUUAUGAUGAAAAAGUAAAAAACAAUGUUUGUUUUGGCUGAUAACUAUCAGUUUAGGUGUCAUUGAAUUCAAUUCAAGGUAUAAAUUAUCAUGAUAUAGAAUUGAAAGUUACACCUGUUUUACAUCUCGCAAAUAGAAAAUGUGUAACACUAGCUCCUUUUAUUUCUGUGGCCAUCCCAAUGUAUGAUGAUAGGACCCUUCCAAGAACUGUUAUGACUUCCAUUGUCAUGUUAUAGUGGCUAUUGUUUCAGAUACUAUAUGCAUCUUUAUUGACAUGGGACUUCUUCUGGAAGUAUCUUUUCGUUGGAACGGAUUGUCUUAGCAUGGGCACUGCCCAGCAGGGGCAUGAUAUGUAUGAUCCAAUAGAUGCUACUGGUUGAGUGCCGACUUGUACGCCCAAAUUCUUGUUCUUACACGUAAAAAGAGUUCGUCCAUGCUUUUAUAAUAUCAGUACCAGUUAAUAUAAUCAAUUAUUUAUCAUUGACAUCUUAGCCAAGUAGACUUGCAUAGUCAAUGCAAAAAUUUAUUGAUUUACACCAACUAAAGAAAAAAUUUCUUGUUGGAAACUAUUGUAUGGCCUGUUACAUGUUUUCUUGCUUGUUUCUCUGUCAAGGGGAACAUCCUCCGACACUAUUUACUUGGGGUGUUUGAGUUGUAACUUGUCAUAAGGCAUGGAGUGCACCUAUAUAUAUAUAAAAUAAUAAUAAUAAUAGUAGAUCCAUGCUUUCUUUGGGCAUUGAUGGAAGUAGCUAUGUAGAAGAUUUGAUAUUGCAGGACUUGUUGUUUUAUAUGGCCAUGCCUCUGAUCCUUGCUAAUUGCCACCUGUCUGGUUUUGGUAUCUUGUUUAGGAAGAUUAAUUAAAUGAUUGGAACUGGGAUAUCUGAUGACCUUCCAGCUCAUGAAAUAGCUUCAGUUAUUACAGUCUGAUAAAGUAGCUUCACACAUAUUGUACAAGUGUGUAGUACAUUUAUGAAGUUUAUGACUAUAUUCACAUCUAUUCUAGUUUGUUAAACACAAUCCUUGUUUUACGAUAAUUGAUGACAAUGCAUAUUGUCAGACUGGUUUAUGUUUGUAUUCUGUAAUGCUUUCUUAUUCCUGCCUCUAUUGGUGAUAACACAAAAGUUGCAUGUUGUAACAUCUUCUUGGAAUGAUAGGUGCUAAUUUGUCAUUUUAGUUUCAGGUAAUUCUGUAUAACAUCAAUCUGUGCUUUUUCUAUAUUCUACCUGAUAUCAUUUUCUUGAUGAAUUCUGGUUUGCACUGUGAUAUAUAGUGGUUCGUUUUUGUUUAAAUUGCAUAUGCUACAAAGUACUUGAAACCUACCAUUUCGUUGGCUGGCUCGAUGUUUUCUACCAGUCUCUCAGCUAUUGCGACGAAAAGGCCUUCCUUCUAUGGACGCAUAUUACCAGUUUUACUCGGCUUGGAUCCGGCUAUUUCAAUUGUGAAAGCGGUGGAAGUCCCAGGUGCACACCAUGCCCUAAAAACUGCCUUUGUGGCAUGUUUGGAAUGUACACACUCAAGUGCUGAACCGGUAACUCUUUCUGUUAACUCUCAUGAUGUUCAUAUAAAUAAUGUUGAUUGCAUUUUAUUUUAAAAUGUUGAAAUGAUAUGUCUAUUUUAUAUAUUACAUUGUUCAUGGUUGUUAUCUUGUCAGAGAUUGUUUUUACAUGUAGGAGAACCUACAAGCAAUAAUUAUUAUAUCUAAUACUUCUGUUGUUUUGCAGAUUUUUUUGAGAUAUGUUGUGUAAAACUAUUUGAACUUUGAGAAUGUUCUGAAGUGUAUGUUGUAUUUUCUGUCUGCAGUGGCGUGCCCGCUUGGUGGAAGCUCUGAAAGCUAUUAAUGAUAGUGAGUUGUCAGGCCAGGCAACUAAUAAGAAUUCUGGAGGUGUUUCUAUAAGCAAUGAAGAGUCAUUACCCCUAAAGGUAAGCCUAUCUUUCGAUUUGGCAACUAAGAUGUAGGUCUGUGGACUAGUUGAUACGUCUCUGUUGGGCCUUUUUGAAAUGGAUUAUAUCAAUUGCAGGAUGAUAAUUCAUCAUUGCAAGCAUGUGAUGAGGCAAGUAGUGAUCUUGUGCGUAAGAGGCCUGUAGCUGAAUUGAACAAUGAUUUGCUGCAAGAUGAUUGUCUUUCUGUUAAACGAAUAAGACAGUCAACUCAUACAGCUCAGGAUCUGCCAAAUGAACCACUUCAGGUGACUGCUGAUCAGGAAUCAAAUAGUGUUCCUGUGGUUGGUUCUGUAUCUUCUAGGGAUAAGAGCUCUGGACCUGUGCAGCAACUUGUUGCUAUGUUUGGUGCCUUGGUUGCGCAAGGCGAAAAAGCCGCUGGUUCACUGGAGAUUCUUAUUUCGAGUAUCUCCUCUGACUUGCUUGCAGAAGUAGUUAUGGCUAAUAUGCAACAUCUCCCUCCAACAUGUCCUAAGACUGACAAAGAUGAUGUGGCCUCCGAAACGGGUUAUCCUUCUUGCUUAGAUAGCAGUGUCUUGUCAUCUAUACAGUUGUCACCACUCAUUUCAGAUAUUCAUUCAUUGUCAAGUUUGAGUCCUCUUCUCGCGUCACUACUUAAUAUACAACCUUCAAUGUCUCAUGAUGUUGCUGUAAGUUUCUGUGUUUUUCUUUCAAAGUAUGCAAUUCAUUAUGGAGUUGUGAUUUAAGGUUAUCCCAUUUUGCCUUCCAAUUGCAGAAAUCCCAUCAGAGCAGCGAGGAAAAAGUAAUGGAUACAGUAGAGACAACUUUACUAUCCUCUAGUGGAGGUGAUGGUGGUGCAAUGAUGCCUGUUACUUUGCCUGCUUCAGUUUCACCAUUUCCAGUUGUUACUGAAAAUGGCAGUUCAGUCGUUUCAUUGUCUCUAAAUUCGGCAACAGAGGAGAGAGUAAUACCCGGUGUUGAUUCAACCAGUUCUAUUGAUGAAAUCCAAGAAUCACAUGAUGCUUCUCAUUGUUCGAACCCUGAAGUGAAUGAUUCUAGUCAAGAUCAUGCCACAAGUUUGGGCAGUUUAGUGCCUUCUAAUAUUUUGUCAACUUGUUCCAUGGCAACUGAUGUUUCAGAAACCCAGAGUACCGGAGUAGGUAUUUUUGAUACUAGUCAGGCAUCUUCUGCAGCUUCUCUUGUCACUUCAUGCCAGUGUGUCCUACCAAAGAUGAUGAUUCUUGAUGUUAAUCUAACCGAUGAAGCUAAGGAUCAACUUCAAAAAGUGGCAUUUGUUCGCAUACUUGAUGCUUAUAAGCAAGUAGCAAUUUCUGGUGGGUUAGAUGCUCGCUGUUCGUUGCUUGCUCAUUUGGGGAUUGAGGUAUAUACCCUCAUGCUUAAAAGCCAUGUGAUUCCUGUAAACAUCUUAGAAUAUGAGUAUUUAAAGAAAGGUUUACUUGUUCUCUGGCAGAAUUGCUGCCUGGUUUCUUAUUCCUUUGCUAUUUUAUCAUUGUGCAGUAUAAAUUGGACACUUUUGAAUCUGACAUUUGUUGGAUCUUUGAAGGUGAAGAAGAUGCAAAAGUUAGAAUGUAGUUCUACGAAGUAUGGUUGCUUUUGUUUAUUAACAUCAACAUAUUCCUUCGGACUUCUAUUGGGGUCUUUGAAGGCAAUGAUGCAUAUAUAAAAAUGCAGUUUUAAUAAAUAUGGUUGUUAUUAUAUAUACAGAUUGGCAUAUUGCUGCAGAUACUUUUACAAUGUCCUUCCCUAUCCUUUCAGUUGUCGGUUGGAGCUUAAAUAUCAUUUAUUUCGAAUCUAUGUUUCUCUGAUACUGUUGAUUGAAACUGUAUGAUUGAUGGAGUUUUCUUAGUCUCUUUAUUUGCAAUUGUUGUUUUGUCUUGAGUGGUGGAAAUGAGUGCUUCUUUGCUUGAUUUAAUCUGUUCUAUGGUUCAAAUCACUUAUACGUGUGCAUACACAGAAACAUGCAUAAAUGCAUGAUGCGUAGAUGUAUGCUUAUGAAUAUACAUGUUGCUUCUCCUCUUUCUGGUUUCUCUAUUGUAGUUUAGGCAUAAGUUAUUUAAUUUCUUUUUUUUUUUGCCCUCCUCUUUGGUUACUGUCAUGACAUGUACCGUUUUUCUAUUCUUAUUCUUUUGGUGAAAUCAAUUCCUUUAGUGGUCAACAUAUUUAAUGAAUUAUCCAUUUCUCCUGUAGUUCCCGCUGGAGCUAGAUUCUUGGGGGCUUUUGCAAAAACAUGUUCUGUCUGAUUAUAUGGACCAUGAGGUAAUUACCAGAUUGUCUGCAUUAUCUUUGAUUUCUUGAAAAUGUCUUUGAACAAAUAAUCUUCUCUUCUUUGUUAAACUAGGCAAUGAUUACAAUUUUUUUUUCUUUUAGCAUUCUGUUUACUCAGGCUGUUCUUGUGUAUGUUUUACUAUACAUUUUAAUAAAUAAAUAUUUAUAUACUUCUAUCUUGCUAAUCAUUAAUUCUUGUAGAAUUUUAGCCUGAUCAAGUCCAUUUGAGUAUUUGACAGUUGAGCUUGAUCUGCAACCUAGUUGUGAUUCUGAAAGUUUUAUAGGUGAUGCAUCAAAAGCACUAUGUUGUAAUCCUUUUUUGAUUAAGUCAUUAUGUGAUUCCUGCCUAAAUGAAUCUGUUACUUGUAGGAAGUCACCCCACAUAGUUGCAGAAAUAGAUAAUUGACUAUGGUAUUAAUAUAUUGCCAGAAAACCAGAAAACCGAUUUAAAAUUGGAAAUUAAAAUAAAAAGUGUUGGUUAACCAAAAUGGUCAAUUUUGUUUCUGGAUCAGUGAUUUAAAAAGCGCUAGGCGCCAAAAGGCGCUAAGGUCCAAAAACGCCCCAGGCGCUAGGCGUUCGUUUGAGCGAAGUGAUGCGCUAAAAUAUAAAAAUAUAAAAUAUAAUUAAUAAAUAUAAUUAUUUAAAAUUUUAAAUAAAAAUAUGCUAUUAAAUUAAUCUAAUAAAUAUGAAUACUAUUACCAGUAUACAGUUAACAGUAUACAGUAUACUGUUAACAAUAUACUAUCGAAAGAGGAGAAGAGUGUAAGGGAAGAGUCGGAAGAUCGAAGGUGUUGACUGAGAAGAGCGGGAGCGGCAGCUGCGAGCGACGACAGUGGCAGCGGCAGCAGCGACAGUGGGAGCGGCAAGCGGCGACAGUGGCACCGGUAGCAGUGAGCAGCGGGAGCGGAAGCGGUGAGCGAAGACAGUGGCAACGGUAGCAGCGGCAACGGGAGCGGGAGCGACGACAGUGGGAGCGGCAGCGAGAGUGGUGAGCGACGACAGCGAGCAGUGGCGACAGUUGCGUGAACGACAAGCAGGGUUAGGGUUGGAGACCGAAUCAUACCUCAAACGCUGGUUCGGCCGCUUGGUUUAACCCAGGUGCUUGCCUGAAGCGCCCGGCGCCUAGGCUCGGGUGAGCACCCAGGCGGCGCCUCUUUGAAGCGUGCCGCUUGGAAAUGAAGCGAGGCGCUCGAGCCUUGCCCGAGCGCCUAGGCGAGCGCCUAUUGAAAUCACUGUUCUGGAUCAUUAGUAUUUUGUUUAGGUUAUCUGAUUUGGUGACAAUUUAAUUACCAAGCUGUCCAAACCGUGUUUUUGAUUAGCUCAAUCGGUCAAUGACCAGUCCAAACUAAAAAGGAUACAUACAUAUUAUAUGCAACAGCAUGCACUUGAUCAUAUAUCUGGCUUUUGUAUGGAUAUCUGCUCUCUCUUGUUGUGAUCAUAUUAUAUAUACAUUUGUUUGCUUAUUUUCUGAAGAUUUUUUUGGAUAAUUGACAUGCCUAAGUUGACAAGUUUGUUAAUUUGCAUUUUGUACAAAAAUAUGCACACAUCUUUGAUUAACUGAUAAAUUGCACAAACUGGUGAGCUGGUGUUGAGUAUUCCAUGGAUACUAUCCGAAGCAUGGAAGCUCAUAGGAAGAAAAAAUUGAAAAUUGUGCAAUUAUUCCAUAUGGAUACUAGGCUAAUAAAGCAUAAAAUAUCUUCUUAAUAAUAUUGUCAAGAGCUUAAGGAGUGUUGGAUUGUUCAGAAAUUACAGAACAUUUAAACAACAAUUAUACAGUUGUCCAAGACUAGAAUUAAAGUUUCAGUUUGAUUCUAAUGUUUGUUUGGCGGCUGAACCAGUACAGUGUUGGUACUGCCUGUGUACAAAGUGUUGGUAUGGUUCAGCACUGGUCUAUAUUGUGUGGAGUCACUGGACCACGAAAAGCACAGAAAGAUAGAUAGAUAGACAGAGAUAAAGAGAGCUACACAUUUUGAAAGGUGUACUGUAGUGGUAUGGCGGUGGGGCGGAAGGAGAGGCGGAUGAGGACAACUGUAGUGGUAUGGCAGAGUGGAAGCAGUGUUGGAGGGAGUUAGAGCUGAUUGGAAGGAGUAGAAGUGGCAAUGUAGGUCGGCAGCGGCACGAGACAGCAACAGCGGCAUGGGACAGAAACAGCGGCAUGGGACAACAACAGCCAGCAUGGAAGAAUGGCAGUGGAGAGGUUGGGAAGGGUGGGGGUUCUUUUCAAUUAUGAAACUUCUAAUAUUUGUUUUAGAUCAGGCGUGUGUAUAUAUGUAUAAUAUUAGUCAGGGAUGGCAGAAGAUUGAGUAAAUAUAAUCUUGUUCUAUUUGUUGAUUUUGUAGUUCUUUCAGGUUUAGGGUUUAAGCUUGGAACUUAUGGUGUUGUUGUUGUUGUAAUUCUUUCAGGUUACAUAAUUGAUUUGUUAAUUCGAUUUCUUAUUCGAUAAAAGAGAUUUAAAUGUAGUGACCUUUUUUCUUAAUAUAUUAAUUUUCUUUUUAUUUGAUUUUUUAUUUUGAGUUUAAAUUAGUUCUUUAAUUGCAGGAAGUCUUAUAAGUUGACUUAUUAUCGAACAUUUUUUCUGCAUGACAUUGAUUUAAUAAAGGCUUCUACAUAUCUUCCAUUUAUUGUUCCUGAAAUCCGGUUUCCUAACUCACGAAUUCAAUGUUAUCAGGGACACGAGUUGACUUUGCGUAUCCUAUACAGGUUAUAUCGGGAAACGGAGCAGGAUCAAGACUUUCUUUCAUCAAGGACUGCUAUAUCAAUUUAUGAAACAUUUCUUUUGGCCGUGGUAUGUUUUGAUCCUUCUUGUAUUUGAUAUUUAUCUGAUUUUUCCUGCAUAACCGUGCUAUUGCCCUUCAGGCUGAGUCCCUUCGAGAUACCUUCCCUGCCACAGAUAAAUCACUAGGCAGAUUGCUUGCUGAAGUGCCUUACUUGUCGGAGGGAGUGUUGAAACUGUUGGAGGGUUUGUGCUGUCCUGACAGAAGUGAGAAACUUGAAAAGGACUUUCAAAAUGGUGACCGAGUUACUCAAGGCCUGAGUGCUGUUUGGAAUCUAAUUUUGCUUAGACCUUCCAGUCGAGCUAGAUGUCUCCUUGUUGCUUUACAGGUAUUGGCUUUUCAUUUGCAUUACCUCUGAAAUUUCAUGUUCUAUCUUUGUGAUCUCUUGUAUUAAGAGUUGUUUUUUGUCUAGCAAUUCUUGUUAUUCUGAUUGGCCUUCUGUAUUUGUUUGUUUUUUUGUUCUUUAGUGUUCGGCAUAUUUUCUUCUAGGCUAGCUGACGGCAAAGGAUUUUGUGGGUCCAAAGAAAAAUUUUGAACUCAAUAUAAUGUGAAUUAGCAGAAUUGGUCUUGUGAAUUUUUUAAGAUUUGUAAUUUCGUACCGUACGAGUAUCAAGCUUAGCUCGCUACAGUAUGGUAUGAUACGAGUAUACCGAACGGUAUAUUAUGGCGUAUGACUCAGUGUGUGUGUGUGUAUAUAUAAAUAUAAAAUAAGAAAAAGUUAAAAAAAAAAAAGAGGCGACGUUGUUGUCUCGUUUCUUCUCCCUGCGAGGAUGAUGAGAAGUCGCCGACGACACCGAGGCCUUGUCACCUCAGACGAGGAGGAGGUGGCAUCAUCUCAUCUGUGGUGUCCGGCUAGGGAGGGUGGUGACAGAUCGGGAUCGUCGAGAGAGAGCAGCGCCGGAUCUCCAGGUUCUCCAUUUUCUUCUCCCUCGGCUAAUACUGCCCGGUAGCGGGCAGCGACGGUCGAAAUUGACUGUCAUCGAUCGAUUUUGUGUGGUAACGGGGUUGAAACAGCCCCAAUCGAUGGUAUCGCCCGGUACGGGCGAUGCCAUUCGAAAUUAAAAUCCUUGGAAUUUUCCUUGUUGGAGUUCUAGUGAUGGUUAAAGGCACCUUGAAAAUGUUUUGAUUUACUAUACUGAUAUAUCUGAUUUACUAUACAAGAUCGUUACCCGUCAAUAUAAUGUCAUCUACAUACACAAUGAGUAUUGAGACAUUUCCACUACCAGCAUGCUCAUAAAACAUGGUGUGAUUUGUCUAACUUUCCGCUACCAGCAUUCUUAACAUCUAAUUGUUGUAGAGGCUAAUAAAAAAAUGUUGCAAGAGACGACAAGACUCGAACACUGUUCAUCUUUGCCAUGGGUGCAAAAGUAUCUUGAUAAUCUAUCCCAAAUGUUUGAGUGUAUCCUUUAGCCACUAGUCUUGCUUUGUAUGUCUCAAUUGGCCUAUCAGCUUUAUAUUUCACUGUGAGCAGUCAUUUACAAACAACAUGUCUCUUUCCUUUAGGUAAAUUUAUAAGUUCCCAAGUGUCAUUCUUCUCCCAUGCCCUCAUCUCCAUGAACACAACCUUUUUCCACUCGAGUACAGCUAGAACUUCAAGUAUAGACUUAGGAAUAUUUGUAUUUGACAAAUUAGAAACAUAGGAUUUGAAAGAGGAGGACAAUCUGUGAUAUGACACAAAAUCGGAAAUAGGAUGAAUAAUAUAUGACCUUGUUCCUUUUCUAAGAGCAAUAGGAACAUCGGGAUCUUGAAACUCACUAGGGUCUAGGCACAAAGAAUGGUCUGGAGUACUUGAAGUUUAAUGAUCAAUUGCACUUGGAGCUAACUCUUGGCAGACAUUGUGUGGUUGUUGCCCUAAACCUUGUUGGUUAUGCCUCCUUGUAUAGACACGUAGCUCUGCUUGCUGUUUAUCAGUCACUAAGUCUCUCCCCGCAUCAUAUUUUAUAUGUUCUGACACAAUAGAUUGAGGUUGUAACAUUGGAUUGGUGGUACAUGGAAUAGGAUGGUGGCUGAGAAGGUAAGACUGUCAGAGGAAUAGAUUCGGAAGGUGAAUUUUCAAGAGAUGUACGUAUGAUAGGAAUGAAUUCAGAAGGAGAAUUCACAGGUAGGGUUAUAAUAGUUUCCCAAAACUUCUCUUCCAUAUGAUUCUCCCUCUGAAGAGAAGUUUGGGAGAAAUAAGUUUGAUUUUCAAAAAAAGUGACAUCCAUACUUAUAUAGGAACUGUUUUGCAAGAGGAUCAAAGCAUUUGUAUCCCUUCUAAGGUGGUGAGAAGCCUAGAAAAACAUAUUUUUUCGCUCGCGGAUCAAGUUUGGUGCAGUUAUGACCAAGGUAUGCAGUUUCGAAUAAUACUGCCUGUACCGGUUCGUCAGUUGACUGGUACAUGGAUCGCCCGUUACCGGACAUAUAUAUAUAUAUAUAUAUAUAUAUAUAUAUAUAUAUAUUAUAAAAGGCAACGUCGCCCCGUGUGGGAGAAGGGAAAAGCGACGCGACGUCACCUUAUAUAUAUAUAUAUAUAUAUAUAUAAACGAGGUGACGUCGUCGAGGCAACGCGACGUCGCCUUUUAUAAAAAUAUUUAUAUAUAAAAAUAUAUAAAUAUAAAUAAAUAAAUAAAUAAAUAAAUAAAUAAAUAUAUAUAUAUAUAUAUAUAUAUAUCGAGCUGUAUACCAAACGGUAUACCGCUCGGUACGGGUUUGUCGAUAGGUUUGUAGGAGGAUGUUUAGGGUUUUUUGUUAAUGAUAUACUCAGGUUGGCAUCCUAUUGAUUAAAUAGGAUGCAAUUAGUACAGCCUCUCCCCAAAAAUAUUUAGAAACUCCUAUAGUAAACAUAAUGGCUCGAGCUACCACUGAUAGAUGGUUGUUUUUCCUUUCAGCAAUUUCAUUUUGUUGGGUGUAUCAACAUAAGAGGUUUGAUGGAUAAUAUACCAUUUUCCAUUAGAAAGUUUUUAAGAAUGGAUUUAAAGUACUAUCCUUCAUUAUCAGUUCUAAGGAUUUGUAUUUGGGCAUGGACUUGGGUGUUGACCAUGUUGUAAAAGUAUUGAAACACUAGCAUUUUCAGAAUCUUCUUUUGACAAAUAUACCCAACAAACUCUAAUAUGAUCAUAAAUGAAAGUAGUGAACCACCUAGUUCCAUUAGUAUUUUUGACUUUUGAAGGCUCCCAAAUGUUACUAUGGAGUAAAAAAAAGGAGAGUAUUCUUAUUCUUGAAAUUGAGAGUAUUCUUAUUCUUGAAAAGCAAAGGAAAUAACUUGUUCAAGUACUUGAAACUAGGAUGGCCUAAUCUAUAGUGCCAUAACAUUAUUUCAUCCGUAUCAGAAAAGGAAGAGAAACUACGUAUAGCUUGAGCUUGUCCAUCCAAGGAACCAUUGCUGUCAAAGUAAUAGAGUUUAUCAACCUCUCUAGCACUGCCAAUCAUCCUCCCCGAGCCCAUAUCCUGAAACUCACAAUGAGAUGGAAAGAAUUUAGCCAUACAAUUUGAAUCUUUAGUGAGUUUGCUUAUGGAUAAGAGAUUAUAGGAUAGGUUGGGAACAUGUAGAACUAAUUUGAAAAUUAGAUUCUUUGAGAGAACUACAAAACCUUUUCCUGUAACUAGGGACAACAAAGAUCCAUCAGCAAUAUGAACUUUUAAGGUUACAGGACAUGGAGUAUAGGAGGAGAACAUGUGAGAAAGAUGGGUCAUAUGAUCACUAGCACUCGAAUCAACUAUCCAAAGUGCUUGGUUAGAGGAAAUGUGGAGGGUAGUGGGAAUAUUACCUUGUUUUGAAUGAGAACAUGUAGGAGAUGGAUUUGGUUUGAGAUUGACUAAGAAGUCCAUACAGAUGUUCUAGCUGUUCUUUACUGAACAAAGGUGACUCGAAGCCCCUUUGAUUUCCUCCAACUUGAAUCUCUGUGGCUGCCUACAUUCCUCUAACCCCUUUGUUGCUACUCUUAUUGUUUUUCUAGUUUUAACGGUUAUCGUGCAUUUUCCAGCAUGUCUCCGUGGUGUGUUUUGGUUUCUUGCAAUAAUCACAUCAUCUCCCAUCUUUUCUUUGGCAUUGGGUAGUUUUUUGAGCCUGCCAAGGCAGAGUUUUCCCCCAUGUGCUUGCCAUAAUUUGUUUGUUUACUGCUUAGCAAUUCCUGUUGGCUUUGAGCACUUUGAAGUGUUGUAAAUGCUUCAUCAAGAUCAGGAAAAGGUUGUCUACUAAGAACACGAUUACAUACCCGAUCAAAUUCAUAAUUUAACCCCAAUAAGAAUUGAAAUACCCUCUCCAUCUCCAACAGAUUUCUCAGCUUUUUAGUGUUGGUAGCUGAUUCCAUCUCCAGAUUUUGAUAUAGGUCUAAUUCAGCCAAUAGACCUCAUAGAUUAUUGUAGUAAUUUGUGAUGCUUGAUGUACUUUGCUUCAUCUUUUGAAUUUGACUUUUGAUUUGGAAAAUCUUAGUAAAACCUACUUUGGAGUAAGUUCUAUUGACAAACAUCCCAAAUAUCUCUAGUUGUAGGUAGUGAUUUAAAAAGCAUUAGGUUUUGGUGUCGAGGUCUCAAAACGGCCGAGGUGCUAGGCACUUGCUCGAGCGAAACGAGACGCUCUGAAAUAUUAAAUAUUAAAAAUAUAUAAUAUAAUUAAAAACAAAUAAUUAUUUAAAUAAAAAAUAUUAAAUUAAAAAUAUACUGUUAACAGUAAAUUACUUAAGUUAGAGGGGGAGAAAAAAAAAUUCAUUAAAAUAAAUAAUAUAAUAUAUAAUAAAAAAAUAUAUCUAUUUAAAUAAAAAUAUGAUAUUAAAUUAAAAACAUAUAGUUAAUAGUAUUUUACUUAAAGUUAGAGGGGGGAGAAAAAAUUGUUCAGUAACAAAGGGAGAUAGCAACUGCGGCGGAGGAUUAAAAAUAUAUUGUAGCAGCGUUGUGAACGACAGCAGUGGUAGCGACAGCGAGGGAAGCUGCGGACAGUAGCAAUGACAGCGGGGAAAGCUGUGAAUAGCAGCAGCGACAGCUCCAGAGGGUGUUCGUCGGUCGCGGAGGAACCUGUGGUCGUCUCCCUUGACACUAGAAGGAAGCGACAGUGGAGGGAAGCUACGGGGGUCGUCGGACUUGUCCGUCUGUAACAGAGGAAGGCUCGAUCCGCUACGUCUGUGGCGGAGGCAGCAAUAGAAUGCGUCGGUGGCAGAGGCAGAAGCAGCGCUGGGGUUCCUCGAUGUCGGGCGGGCGUGAAGCGUGGCUUUUGAGGUAAGAAACUACGAACCGAACUAGACUUGAACCAGUUCGGUUCACUUAAUUGAACUGGGCGCUCGCCAGAAGCGCCCAUCCCCUAGGUUCGAGCGAGCGCCCAAGUGGCACCUCAUUGAAGCGUGCCGCCUGGUUCACACACGAGGUUGUAGGAAGAAAAAGGUAUGUCUUGUUGAUUUCUGGUUGCAUGGAGUGAAAUAGCCACGACAUCACCAUUGCAUUCUCAAUCUCCCAAGUUUCAUAUGAAGCAUCUUCCAAGGCUCAUGCCUUUGCUGCCCCAUUCACAUAUUUGAACUUCCUGUUACUCAUUAGCGAGAUCUUCAUGGAUUGAGACCAUUUCAUGAAAUUUUGAUAGCUUAGUUUAACAGUAGAGAUCUUAUGGGUAUGACUCUCAAAUUGAUGGGAAGACUGAGUGUGGGCAUGUUUAAGAAGAUUAAAAAUAAACUUAGGAGUUUCAGACAUGGCUGGAAAUAAGAAGAGUCACUAGAGUGGACUUUAGAUAAUUAAGGCCAAGAGUAAGAAACUAAUUUACCAUAUACCACAGACGGCAGAAAAAGAAAAACAGAACCUAAUCUUGCUCGAAUACCAGGAACAAGAUAAUAUAAUUGAGUUUCUCAUUUCUCUCUUUUGUUUGUAUAUAGGAUGAAGUACAUAUAGUCAAACAAGAGAAAAGAAAGAAAGGAAAGAGCUGCCUAAAUAAAUCUAGGUGCUAAUCUAGUAUAUAUAGUUAUAUACAACUAGCAAAUGUACACAAAUAUGGUAAUGCAACUAGGAAUGAAUCAGCAAUUAUAUCCUAGUCUAUCACUUCAAAUAAAGUAGCAUGUCAAGAAUCAAAUCGUAGCAGAUCUUGACAUAUCAAAUCAAAUCACAGCUGAAUUGACAGAUCUCAACAUUUACUGGGGUCAUGGUUUGAGAAAAAAGGGAAAUUAUUUCUGAGUUUAUGGCAUUAUCAAAUCAUAGUUCUGGUGGUAAUUUUCAUAUUUUAACUUGCACUUGGAUUUUUGGAUUAUGCAACUGCAUAUCAGAGCUUUUAAUUUUUUUAGUCUGCGUGUUGGUUCACUGAAAUGAUUAUCUAUAAGAGAAGUGUUUUUAUUACAUUGCUAUUUGUUGCUGAGUAAUUUAGUGGCUAAAUGAUGCUUCUGGAGUAUAAAUUUUUUACCAAGUUUUUGAAUAAUCAUAAUUGAAAGAAAGGAUAAGCUUUUGAGUAGGUGCAGCAUCUAUACAGUUUCAUGUUGUUAUAGAUGAUCAUGAAGUGUAUUCUAUGCAAAGUUUUCUUGCUUCAGUUGGUGCUUAAUUACUAGUUGAGUUGUCAAAUAUGAAACGAAAGCCCUGAAAAUCUCAAAUUUCAUUCUGGAAAUUGUUGAUGGCCACCUCUUGAUUGAUGAGCGCCAUGCUAGUACACCAGUAAAUAAGGAAUAAGUGUCUUUCUAUUAUGUGCACUACCUCCUGGUUUAAACUGUCUAGUUUGUACUAGUAGUAGUUAUCAUAAUGUUUUGUUCCUUUCUCAUAUGCCAUCAACAGUGGAGGACAGUACCUUCUUUCUUGCUUAUUUCUAAUCAUAAUUCAAUGGGCGACUGAAUUAUUAACAAAGGAUGAAGAUGACCUUACAUGUACUUUUUAGUUUGUUACCUAUUGUUUGUGCGCAAGGUAUUCUAGUUGUGUUAUUCUCUUAUCAACUUUUGUUUAUGGGAAUCGGUUGGUGAAGUUGCUAAUAUCUCUGUGGGUGACUGUCAUUUGACACUGCCUAAUGUUUUAUUUGAAGACUCAGAUCAGCAUGUCUCUAGAUAUGUAGUCAUUGUAGUUUUUGUGAUUGAGAACAUUUAAUGUUCUGCCUAGAUAUGUAGUCAUUUUAUUUAAUGUUUUCCCAAAAUGUGGUGCCAGUUUAUUAUGGACAAAUAGUUGCUCAUAUGAAUUCGUUUGGUCUAAGUGAGGCAUGAGCUAAGUGGUGCAAAUCCAGCAAGAUAACUAGAACAAUCCACUGCAUUUAUCUUUGUGAUCGAGCUAUAUAGGUGGUAAAACAGGAAUUUUCAUCUCACCUGGUCUAUCCACCUUUUCCCCACUCAUUAGUUAGCAUUAGUUUGGUUUUUUCUUGCAGUAAGUACAAUCAAUUUUUCCAUCAUUAUGUCUAUUUUUAUUCCUUAUUCUAUUUUUUCCAACAGAGUGCAGUACACUCUGCAGAAGAAGUGCGGAUGAAAGCAAUACGCCUGGUAAUUCUUAUGGGAGGUCACACCUUCUAGAAAUUGGAGUUAACAAUACUCUUUUCAUCUAAUAUAGUCUUGUUUUGUUCUUUGAUACUUGUAGGUAGCAAAUAAACUGUUUCCUAUGCCAGGCGUAUCUCAAAAAAUUGAAGAAUUUGCUCAUGACAAACUUCACUCAGUCAUAGAUGAUGUUCCUGCAAUUGAGGACAUGGACACUGAUGAAGCAACUUCUGGAUUGCAAGAGGUUUGUUUAAAAAGAAUCUUGACCUUUUCACUAUUCUUGACUUUUAACUAGUGUUGUGUGCUGUGGAAGUCAAGCAAUUUCACUUUUGGUUCAUGGAUGGGGUGCAGAAAGAACUAGAGCACUACGUCAGUAUCUAUUUACUGAUAAUUCAGGAUUCUCUUUUUAGUUUAGCCUUUGAAUAAAAAUCUUUCUGAAGAAUUCAAAAUAGUGCCAAAUUAGGAAAAGACCGUUAGGAAAAUGACUCAUGGUAUUGGUUGAUUCAGAAACACCCGAUGCCUACUGUUGCUAUGCAAUAUCAACUCAGUUUUGGCUGAAAUCGGUUAGAUUUGGUCAAUUUCGAUUGGAGCGAGAUGAUAUUGGCAACUUCUAGCCUCAGUGGAAGAGAAAAGAGGAAAAGAAUUCAAUAGGAGAAAAGGGAAAUCGUGAUUGAGCUAAAAUGGAAAAGAAACCUAUGACUAUGGUUGUGAAAAGACGGUGCGACUAUUGUGUUUGUUAUUUCUGUAACUGUGCCACCUUUAUUGCAAUGUUUGCAAUGUCUUUUGUCCACUGUCAAUAAGACAAGGGAUUUGAUAUUGAGAAAGCAAAUAGAAGAAUAAAGGAUGAUCCUGAACCUAUUAAGGAAAUAUGAUAUCCCCUAACAUAGAAGAGACAUCUCGUGAGUUUUGUCAGUAGUCUCAUAUUUGAUGGGCACUCUCUUUAAUAAGUGUUUUCUUUGUUUGCCGUUCUAUUUGUCUGAAUUGGUGCCCUAUUGGGUUCUAUUGCUAUCUUUAAAGAUUAAAGUGGUUGAGUAUUUUGUAUGAUAUAUAUUGGUUAUUUACUAUGUUAUUGUCUUUAUAUGAAGUCUGAUUUUAUUAUAAAUUAUGUAAUAAUUACUUCUAAAGAUUUAUUCUUCAUUAUUUUAUUCUUAUCUAAUGUAUAAUUUUGUCUCUCACAUUUUUUAGGAAGCUUGGUAUUUUAUGAAAUAUGUAGAUCAAAAAUAUUUUUAGCAUAUAAUUUGCUCUAGAAGUUUUCUGUAGUUCUUUCUUUAUUUUCUAUUAUCAUGAACUUUUAUAUUUUUAAUACUAACUUCUGUAAUUUUGAUUGCAUCAACUCGAUCUGAUUGGUCCUGCUGAUCUUGUUUGUACUUUCCCUUGUUGAUUUCAGUACUGAUGCAAUUAUUGUGAACUCUUUUUGAAUAUCUUGUGGAUGUUGUAAUACUGUAUCUAUGUUCACAUAACUGUUGAAGUCAUGGGAGAUUCUGUCAUUUGACAACAAAUUUGAAGAACAUGCCUGCCUUUUGUUACCAGCUGUCACCUCUAUUUUUCAGUCAUCAGGUUAUCUUGGGCUGAUGAUGGUUAUCUCAUGACUGUUUUCAUGUUUCUUGAAGUCUCUGUUAAACAAGAUAUUUUUCAGUGUUUUUAUUGUUCAAUAUCUUGCAUGGACUUUUGUCCUGUGAAAGAAAACUUCUGUUUUACUUUGACAUAGCAUGAUUCUUGCCAUUUAUUUGUUUUUGACUUUUGCAGGAUUCUAAAUUGGGAAAACCAUCUAGUAGCAGAGGGCAGCAAUCUGACAAUGCAUUAAAGUCCAGCACCCACUUAGAUCAGAAUGUAAUGUCCUCUCUGAUAUCAGAGGCACAACGGUGCAUGUCACUUUAUUUUGCCCUUUGCACGAAGGUAUUAAUAGGCUUGCAUUCUCUUCCAUUAUGCGCUUUUUCAUACUUCAAUUCUUGUUCUGAAUUAAUUUGUCAAAUUCUCAUGCUACUUUGCAGAAGCAUUCUCUUCUCAGGGAAAUUUUCACAAUAUAUAAAAACAUAUCAAAGGCUGCAAAAGAGGUGUAGUCCUUAUCUCAAUCAUAAGUUGUAUCUUUGUGACAGAUGUUGUUCAGCUAUUUCAUCAACUGCAUUUUUUAAAACCAUUGGAGCUGUGCAGGCUGUUCACAGGCAGAUUCCCAUCUUGGUUCGCACUGUAGGGUCUUCUCCUGAACUCCUUGCUAUCAUCUCAGAUCCACCAACUGGAAGCGAAGAUCUUCUUAUGAAGGUGUUCAGAAUAAGACAAUGCACUCUGUGGUCAAUCUUAAAUUUCCUUUUAUUAUGAGUGAGAAAUAGGCCAAAAAUAUCAUGUCUUUUGCUCCCGCGAAUAGCUCAAGGACCACUUAUCUUAUUACCGGAAUAAAUAUUUGAUGAUCUGUGCAAACAUUGAUACCUUAAAAUGGUUGAUAUGUGCUGUAUGCUUUGUUAAGAGGACCAUAUUUUAAGGAAUUAUGAAAAAAUAUAUAUACCUAUGAGAUGCUAAUAAUACUUCCAAGUCAUCUUGUUUGGAUCAAGUGGUGUUUGUUUCAGCAUCUUGACAACUGUGGUGGAUAAGUAGGAUAACUGUUGUCAUCAAAGGACAUUUGUUUCUUUUCGUGUUGGUAUACUUUAUUGUUUGUCAUAUGAAAUUUUAAUAUAACAAAAAAAAUAAUGAAUGUUUCCAUUUUGAUGUGGUACAUAUCCUAUUGGUACUUUUGAUUUGCCAUGUCUGUAUAAUGAUAUUAUUUUUUCUUCGUCAAUUCAUUAUAAAAUAUGGGUAGUUUGAAGUUUGAACCAUAGUUCGCCUUAGCGGUUCGUACCGGUGUAUCGACCAGCUGUCGGUAUGAUAUGUAUCGAUGUACUGACAUACGGUACGGUAGGGUGUAUCGAUAGACUAGUACAUGCUGCUCGUACUGAUCCCCGAUUGGACCGGGACAUACCACCUGUACCGAGCGAUAUGCCAUGGUAUGGUGAACCUUGGUUUGAACUAAUGGAGAGGAUAUCAUUUAUAUUUUUUUGGAGUUUAGGAACUUAGUACAAAAUUAAAAUGUGUUUGAGUUCCUAAAAUAGAAUUUUAGAUCUUCCGUCAUAGACACAAAAGAAAGAAAGCCCUUGAUGAUGGUGAUAGCAUAAUUCUUAUCUUUUUUACUCAACAUUUAACUGUGUGCAGAUUUGUAAUUUUUGUGCAGGUUUUACAUACAUUAACAGAUGGGAUCGUUCCUUCACAAGAUUUGAUUUCUUCUGUUAAGAAGUUAUAUCACUCAAGAAUGAAGGUAGAUUAAUAUAUUUCUUUUGAGAUGAUGAAAAUAUGUCUACCUUAUUACCUAAUCAAUGUUGCUAUUAAUUGCAGGAUGCAGAUGUUCUGAUUCCAGUAUUGCCCUUCCUAACAAAAGAUGAGGUUUUUGUAUCCGCCUCCAUUUCUGUGGAUCUUCAGUAACUUACAUGAGCAUGUUGUCUUCUAUUAGAAAUUUAGGAGUAUUGUGAUCCUGCCCAUCAUAUCACAUGCAAGUUACAUGUUGUUUAAUUGGUUACUGUGCUGUUAAAAUGUCAAGCUUGAAUAUUUUUUUUUCCUGCUUGCUAAUUAAGAGGAUUGGUUCAUAUGAUAGUUUUUGUUGCUUUGUAUCUGGUAAUUUUCAAAAAGAAAAUUCGUUUUCAUAUGGUGUCCAUGAAACCUGCAAAAACUGUUAUUUUGUAUUAAGUUUAAUAAGGCUGUUUCUUGCUUAAAUUUUCUUUAUCAAUAUAAUUUAACUUUUACUGUCCUGUUUCAUUUUGCUUCUUUGGAUGUUAUUUAGUCUUUACAAUGAAGAUGAUAAUAUUUCAUGGUCACUGUUCCUUUAUUGAAUUCAAUUGAACUCUUGCUUUUUUUGCCAUUCUGAGUAUGAUUCUUAUAUUGGUUUAUUUGAUGUGUUUUCUAGAUAUUUCCAAUUUUUCCCCAUCUUGUUAAUCUGCCAAUAGAAAAUUUUCAAGGUGCCCUCAGUCGUGUGCUUCAGGUAUUCCUUUUUCACUUCAUAAGUAUUGUAUCUUACGUUGCUUCAGUUAUUGUUUGCGUUGUCAUAAAUAAUUUAUAUUAAUUGUUGUCACCAAUAAGUUUAUUUUUUUUAAUAAUCAUGAGUGCCUUAUUUUUGUUUAAACGAUUUUGCAAUAUGUAGUUUGCUCUUAGAUCUCGUUAAUUUGGUGGUUAAUUAUUGAUUUACCAAGAUUUGUACUAAACAAAGAAAUAUUUUAGAUUCAUUGCCAAUGCCAGAAUUAUCUAAUUUUCAUUUUUUAUAUUUAAUUACACGAAAUUUAAAAGCAUUGUAGGUUAAAUGGAUUUUAACAUACUCUUUGAGAUGUCUGUAAUGAAGCGAACACAGCUUGGCACACUGGUGUUGUGUGAAUCCAUGGUUGGGUGGGUUAUUAUUGUUUUGACAAAUGUUGUGAGUGGUGUGGAGAGAAAACAGAAAGAAGGGAAAAAUUAGAGAACAUAUCAUAGACAGUUAUGAGAAAGUAACAAAUACCAAAAGAAGUAAUAAAUCAUGGUCAAGCAGCUGGUCCCAUGGGAGCAUACUGUGUUGCCAGAAAAACUCUUGGGACAGACAGGUUGCUAUGAAAUAUAUGAUGGAUCUUAUGGUAGACCUAAGCUAUUGGGGUGUCCUCUUGCACCAUGUUUGGUUGAUCUCAAGCAGUGGUCUAGCCAUCCUGCUGAAGGAUCAUUGAGGAAACCAUAUUCUAGAAAGGUGGACAAUUUCAAAACCCCAGUUCAAUGAGAUAUUUGUAUGCGUGACCACAUCUAUUAACAACAUAAGUUCGUGUUGAUGCCCAAGGUCUAAUCUCUACAUAAAAAAGUAACAGAAAUAAUUAAGGUCUUAAACUGCCAUGGUCUUUUUUUCAUAAAGACCGAGCCAAAAUUCUUGAUUGUCCAUAAUACAUACAUGAUAAGUACGAGCAACUUGCACAGUACACUAUUACUUUCAUGCAUACAAUAUUUACAGCAUCACAUAAAUCAAUGCUUGGCAAGGUUUUGAACAUUAAAAUCCUCGAGAUAUAUUAGACCUCAAGAUAUAAGAGCAAGAUGUUAAGGGUUGCAGUGGGUUUUGCUCUCAGAACAAAGUGUAUCUCAAAACAUUAAUAUUAGGAAAAAUGCAUAAGCUGGAAGAAAUCGUGUAAUCUUAUCAUAAUUGACAAGAUCAAAGUGUCACAGUUGAGGAGGGUAUUCUAGUCGUGAUAUAUCACAAUCCUAACUAGGCUGUGGUAACUAAUUAAUAAUCAGAUAAAUUCUUCUUAGGUUUCAUGAAGUGGUAUCAUUUCACAGGUAUACCCUCUUUGUUGGCUGGAGAGGGGAUCAUAAAUCUUUAUCCUAAUAUCCCUUUUCUGCUGAUAUUUAAUCAGGGAUCGCCUAAAACUGGCCCAUGCCUCACCCCAGCUGAAGUUUUGAUUGCUAUUCAUGGGAUAGAUCCUGUGAAAGAUGGGAUACCACUCAAAAAGGUAUGUAGAUUUUUCCCCCUCCUUUCUUAUUAGUUGAAUGUAUACCAUGAAGUUGUGAAAGUGCAAACAACUGAGCCUUUGCUUUGUAGGUUAUUGAUGCAUGCUCUGCUUGCUUUGAGCAGCGGAAAGUUUUUACUCAACAGGUGUUGGCAAAGGUGUUGAAUCAAUUAGUAUGUAUCACUUGACCAUAUCACUUUUUUUGGCUCCAUAUCUUAUUAUACAUAAUGGCUACUUAGCAAAGCUAGGUUUGCAGGUUGAACAAAUACCUCUUCCUUUGUUGUUUAUGCGAACUGUCUUACAAGCAAUUGGCAUAUUCCCUUCAUUGGUAAGUUGUAAUUAUUUUAUCAUAAAUUUGGGAAUAUUAGGCAAAGUGUCCUCUAUAUGAUUUGUUCUGUAUAAAUUCUAUCUGUUGAGAUUAGCAGUGCUUAUAUGUUGGAACUUAGUGAAUAACUGGUAUAUAAUGUUUGUCUAUUUUAUUAGAGAAUACUUAAAAAAAAGUCUUUAGGUGGACUAUGUAGUGAGUAAGAUUUUAGCACAAUCCAAAUCUGUUGCGGUUGGACUUUGGCUGGAUGUGUCUGUUUUGAUGGAGUUUGCUUAACCUUAAAGAGCAGCACAAAAUGUAAACUUGGUUCCUAUGUUGGAUAGUUUGAGGCAAUAUGCUCUCAGUUGUUGAUGCUUAGGUGAUGCUACUCCACUUCUUUGGUCAAUAGACACAUAAAAAUAUCCUUGAAACUAAUUGAACGCUAGAUUGUCCUCAGGUUAAGAAGGAUGUUGCCCUGCGAUAAGACGGUUUCUAGGGAAUCAUUGAGGAUGGCAGGAUUUCAUGUCAAUGCAGGAUUCAGACUGGCAUUUGCUUAGGCCGGGUUUAGUCAUGUUCAAGUUCAGCAUCAUGUCUGGUUUUCAGUAACACAAGGUUUAGAUUUUUUUGUAAUAAACUUUAUGGAGGAUCAUUUUUUAUUUUUAGUAGUUAUUUUUCUUUUACCUUUAUAUUGUUUUAGUGGCCAUAAAAUGGUUCUUACGAGAGUGCUAACUGGUUGGUAAUUCUUUCUGAUAGGAACUCCAUCUUUCAUCAGUAAAUAGUCGGAAAGACCUCAAAUCUUUCACAAAAGCUAUAGCUUCAACUGAGAGGAAAAGAAGAAACUUAGUAUCACUGCCUCUCAACUAGGAUGAUUAUAUUUGAGCUUACUGUCAUUUCUGCAGUGUGUUGAUAUCAGGUAAAAUCUGGAGUCAUGGUGGAAAGAUCAGAUUGAGAUAUGUUGUAGAAGGUAAAAGGUGGAGCCUUCCUUGCGAGCAUCAAGGGCAUAUUUGGAAAAGGAACAUGAUAGUUGUCAGUCUCACCUUCUCAAAGAUCAUGGAUUAUUGAUACGGUAACCUAUGUUGAUUUAUGGAUAUAUAAAAUGGAAGAAGUAAUCGGCAGCAACAUAGUCCCCUAUUCUUGACCUAUGUUGCUUCCACUGCUAUUUUCCCUAGAUAGCCUUGCAAAUGAUGAGGGAUGAGGCAUGAACGAGACCACAAGCUCAUUGCCUGCUUAUAAAGGGGAUAGGACUGACAAAUAUAGGCUGGUGGCUGUCUCCCUUGAGGUUAAUCGUUCAUUGCGUUGCUAGUUGGCUGUAGCCACCAAUAACAUGUUUAUGGAGAUUGAGUUGCAUUAGUAACUGAUAGUAUAGGCUGAUCCUGAGAGCUCAUUGACUAAUUGUAUUCCAUGUACACAGAAAAUAAGGAUCUUGAACUGAGAUUUUUUAGAUUUCUCUUCUAGUGCAGGUGUCCGGAUCUUCAACAGAAGGCAGGUAAAGAAAUGAAAGUUACUGUCUUUAACAAGCUGGCAGGCAACUUCUACACCUGCCUAGCAGUGCUAGCUUCCUUUUCUUCAUGAGGUUGAUUGCAGAUCCUCCAUCGAUAUAACUCAAUAAAAUAAACUUCUUAUCCUUCUUUGGACUGACCCAUCAUCUCCACCCCAUAGAAACUACAAGAUCACCCGAAGGACACCUUUGCAAUCCAGAGGUCACGGACUGACAAUAGAGGAGCCUGUCAAAACAACUUGGCGCUCAGAUAGGUGAAAUAAUGGCUAAAUGAUAGACCUGGAAAUCCCAGACUUGUGAAAGCAUAACAAGUCUUUGUUCAUUUCAGGAUACCCUGGAGAUAAGAAGUAUCAUGUUCCAGAUCUUGUUACUUCUUGAGUUGUUUGGUGCUUGGAUGCAUAUUUUGUUUUUCGUACUCUCUUUUCUGAUUUCUUGUACUAUUUUUUUCAUCUUAUGCUGUGGUUGGUGGGGGGGAGGGGAAACACGAGAAGGAGGUUUGGCAGUGUCAGAAGUCGAGGAAUUGGACCAUCUGAUAAGGGAUGGUCCGUGUCGCAGUUCACACAUGGACCAGUAAAUAUUGACCUGUACGAACGGUUCUUUGCAAAAUCGAGUUCCUUGGUUGACACGAGGAGUUUUAGGAAUCUUUACGAGUUCUGUAUUUGCUUCUGGUUUAAAAUAAAAAUGUGUUGUAUCUUAAGCUCAUUGUGUCAACUUAAUCUAUUUUCUGUUUGUUAUUUUGUAGGUGGAUUUUGUAAUGGAGAUCCUGUUACGGCUCAUAAGUAAGCAGGUAGACAAUUGUAUUAUAUACAGGCACCUUGAAAAAGAUCAAAUUGGUAUUUUAUGAGGUUACUUCUGCAAAGUAAUUAUGCCUGUUGUUCGAUUGUUUCUACAGAUAUGGAAGUACCCAAAACUAUGGGUGGGAUUCUUGAAAUGUGUUACUCAGACAAUGCCUCAGUCUUUUUCUGUUGUGCUACAGGUUUGCUAUUAUUGCAUGCAGUACGUUGUGGUGACACAAAAUUUAACUGAUCUUUGUUCGGUGCAUUCGUUAAGUCACUUUAAUGCCAAUAACAUUGAUGAGAGUGUUUGAAAAGUUAAAACAGAAACAAUUUUGCUUACCGGUUAUCACUUCUUUGAUGGUGUAGGCAGUAGGAUUUUUAGUGAUUGUAUUGACCAAAAACUCUCUUGGAAUUAGGAAGAGUAUCAUGAAGAAAACAUUUGCUAGCCAUGUUUAUUCCUUGUGUAAAAAAAUCUUGCUGCAUCUAGCCCUUGACUUCUAACUACAAUCUUCUACCUCCCUCGUCUUUUAUUCCCUUUAUUUAUGAUAAACAUUCUAUCAUGUGUGCGUCAAUUUGGUAUCAGACUGUUGUGCAUAUAUCAGUGUCUUUUUGUGCUUUGCUAAUCUGGCUAAAAAGAUUGAAAAAUAAAUCAAAGCUUUUUUGUAAGAUCCAUUAAGUUGAUAGGCUGACCAGGAUUGUGAUUUGCAUUUUGUUAAGAUUGGAUGUUGGGAAUAAGUCUUGGAGAAUCAUUCAGAAAGUAGUUUAAAAAAUCAUUUAUUGACCUGAUUUUGAAAUUCUGUCUCUGAAAAGGAGACAUCAAAAUAAGCUACAUUUAUUGAUCUUAUUGCAAUCUUAUAGUCUUUGAGAAGUAGAAAAUGCUACUAAGCAAAAGAUCCUAUUGAUUUUAUUACAUACUUAUAAUUGAACUCAAAUUAUGAGUCAUAAACUACAUUGGGUUCAAUAGUUGUUUAGCCCCAGUGAGUCCCACACUAGAAGUGGGUUAUGCUGGUAUCUAAAACUAAAUUGUCUAUUACUGACAGCAUGAGUUCUAGCCUAUUUAUACUUCAUCCUACUCAUUGGGUCAGAUCUAUUGAGUCAAGAUGUGAGAGUUGGCAAUAAACGAACACUUUGGCCUCCUUAUACUGACUAAUGAGUGUCGAGAUGGUGUAGAUCAGUAUAUUGAAAUAUUGGAACCCCGAAGGUAGAUUCAGCUUUAAGUUGGGAAAUUGUGAUGUCCUUAUCAUGGGGUACUUAAGCAUUCUGGGGCCUAAUUAUGUUACUACUGCUGAUACCAUAAUUGCUCCCAUGUCAUGGCUCAAGGUUUUUGAGCCACAUGGUUUAAGAUUAUUGAGCCAGGCCAUGACACUGCUAGGGCCUUGAGUUUUUCACUGAUUCUAUUUAGUUAUUUACAGUUUUCCAUUUAAGUACUUAUGAGAUGAAUCCUUUGGUUUUGUAGAAGCAUACAUUUUUCCAUUGUUAAUUGUAUGUCAGUGUUUAUCUAUCAUCCAUAACAUAAACUGUUGGAUAGCUAGCUAGAAUUACCAGCCUUUUUCUACUGAUGGUGAGAAAAUAUUUCAUUGGUUUGCGAAGGAAGUAGUAAAUUUAUAUUUAUUAUUCAUCUUGGUACUGCUUUUGCUUGUUCUAGGUGUCUAUACUACAAUAUUCAUAUUCUGCUGACUCUUUGUCUUCCAGUUGCUUCAGAGGAAGAGAGAAAAACAACAGAGAGAUAAUUUGUCAUGCUUGUACUGUAAACUAUUCUCACAACAACUAAUAGCAACAUGCCAUAUGAGUUCCUACCACAUUGUUACAAAUAAAAAACAAAACAUUAAAUAUCUCAAAACCGUAAAAUUGUUUUUUGAAGAGAUUCUUAUUAUAAUUUUAUUUUGUUAUGUAAAAUUGUAGGAAGUUAUUAGUAGAUUCUUUGUGGUCUAUGUAAUAUGGGUUGACAUAGAGAUAGUUUAGUAAAACCUUUGACAAAUCUGUUUGUCAAAUAAGUUUCAAACUUGAGCUAAAAAUAUUAAGUGUGAGCAAAUCUGUGUGGCCUAUGUAAAACUUAUGCAACUAGGAAUGACUAGAAAUAUGUGUUAGGGCAUGAAAGUAUAUCGUUUGAUGUACCUUCAAACAGCCUUACAUCAUCUGUGAUGCUAUUUUUUCUGCAUUACAAAACAUCAUAAGUUUACUACAUUUCCUGUAUCACUGAUUCAAACUUCUGUCAAUAAGGCAUGAUUGUUUAAUAUCAAUCCUAUCAUCAAUCACUUUGAUUUUAGAUGUUAUUUUCUUACCAUCAUAGUUUUGAAAUGUUCACACAUUUUUUGUCACUUUUUCUACUGAUGCCUGCCUAAUGCAGAUUUCUUUUAAUAUACUGAUGCACUCAUCCUUUUUCACUUGGUGGACAGUUGCCAGCUGCGCAGCUUGAAAAUGCAUUGAACAAACAUCCUGUGCUGAGGCCUCCUUUGGUUGAGCAUGCUAGCCAGCCAAACAUACGUUCAUCUUUGCCCAGGUGAAUAUAACUUUUGUUUUCUGUUCUUACAGUAUUGAUUUUCUCCUUGUUGAUGUUGAAUGCCAGAGACUGUAUAUGCUGUGUUCAGAUCAACACAGGUGGUUUUAGGACUUGUACAAGAUUUACAAGCUAAUAGCCAAGGACAGACUAGUCAAAGCCAGGCUGCAGACACCGGCAGUUCUACUGCAGAUGUAGCAACAGAGUUAACGCAAGAAUCUAGCGCUGUCAGCUGAGUCUAAAGAGAUUUUGCAACUUCGUGGAAGCAGGAGACUUGUUUGUAAACAACCUGCUUGUCUGAUAUGGUUUGCCUUUUUCCCGGCUGUUGACUGGUAAUUCUCUUAACAAGCUAAGAGCUGAAAAAGAAUUUUGCUGACAAGAAACCAAAUAAUCAGGUGUUGCUUAAUGUUCCCUGAUUACAUCAUCAAUUUCUUGUGUUGUCUGCCACCUUUUUGUGCCUGGUCAAUAUGAUUAUGUCUGUUUGCUCUAGGGGUUGCAGAUUGUAAUGCAUAUGAGUACAUUUAGUGGAAUGGUAUCUCGAGUUACACAUGACAUAUACCUCACUUAUUUUUUCUGUAUUAUUCUUGUACAACAAUUUCAGAAAGAAGGAAAUAAUAGUAAUACAUUCAUCUUUUUGUGUUUUGGUGUACCAAUAUUCUGCAUUUUCUUGUUGCUGUGUUUUUUUUUCUUUUGCCUUUUUGUAAGAACUUUAUCUUGGAUCAACUUAUAGAUGGGCUUCUUGUGUAAGGAUUAUCUUUUAUGGACUGAGCUUCAGCAAUUUUUUAGCCUUUUCUGUUGACAUUAUAGAUGGAAUAUUAUGUAUUUGUAACUGUUAUUCAGAAUUAGAUUCUUUGAACUUUAAUCAAGACAAAGCCUGAUUUGUUUUGCUUCUUAUUGGAUGAGAUUGUCCGGAUAGUCUAUGUAUCAUUCAUGAAUCGGAUGACCAUUAUGCUCUUUAACUUUUUCUUGGUGGGUUGAGCUAUAUCUACUUUGUUCGAUUUAAGUUCUGAAGUUUGCCUUUGACAUGUCAUUAAAUUGAGUUUUUGGUAUUAAACUUGUCUCUGAAAAUGGUUGGGUUCAUCCGAAGAUGUACAAGUUUGGUGAUCCUCAGAGCAAGCAUUGUAUCAGGUUUCAUAGCAUAGAGCGGCACCAACUGCAUUAACUGAAGUUGAUAAAGGGUGCUGACAAUAUUUCACGUUGAGCUGAGAGAAAUGAUCGCUGGGCGGACUCCAGUAAUGUAUUCGAGAUUCACGUAACAUCAGUUGCAUUGUCUAUCGUACUUUACAAUUUAGUGAUAUUUCUUUUUUCCUACGAUGUAAUUAUCAUAUUGAGUGUACUGUUUGUGUCUCAAAUUCCUGAACUACCUCAUGUGUUAUGAGCUCGCAAUACGUUGGUGAUGUAAAAAGUCCAAAAGCAGAUUUCUUGCUUUGAUCGAUAAAUGUGUAUAUGUUCAUGUAAAUGUGCUCAUAACCAGUCAUGUUGAAGUGGAUAUUUUGGUUGUGAUGAGAUGAGACAACUAUAUGAGUAAGCAUUGUCUUGAGAAUACUCGAGGUUUUCCGAAUUACUUCCUUCUGUGGUUUAUUUUCUUUCGUCAUAUCCCUUUCUCAUUCAUUAUACAUGCAUUGUUUGCAUCAACUCAAAUAUAUCUAUCAUGUGUUCUUCCGUCGCCAGCAUCCUCCGACUUAGUCAAACUAUGCAAAAUGCAGUAUUAUUAUUCAUCCCAAGCAUAUAUUUAGUUUGUCCAAAUUUAUAUCGUUUUUGGUGUUUCUUGUUUAUUUGCGAGAUAUUGGAUGGCAAAGAUGUCGCCUUCAUGCCUAAAGAGUGGACAUUGACUUCUCUUAACGAUAAGAGAGAGCCAUGUUUAUUGGUUGCGUUCUGGUGGAUGGAUGACGAAGAAAGAAGACGACGAUCGAUUCUUUGCUGUCGAGGAGGCUCUUCUUUUCAGCCAUAUUUUUUCUGGAGCAUGGGAAAUGUAUGUAGUUCAUAUGACGAACCGCUGACCAAAAUGGCGCACACACAAAACGGAUUCGGAUCGAUUCGACCCCGUUCCGUAUCGUGAAAGACCGGAAAAAAACCCUAGCCGCCGAUCCGUAUAAAGGUUCCCAAGAUGGUGAGGAGCUUUCGUUUGCCACGGGAAGGCGUUGAAGAAGGCGAAGUCUGCUGCAAUGGUGUCUGGGUCGGGGUUGUGCGCGCGACGGGUGGUGGUGGACGCGCGUCACCACAUGCUAGGACGGCUGGCGUCAAUCGUCGCCAAGGAGCUCCUCAACGGGCAGCGGGUCGUGGUCGUCCGCUGCGAGGAGAUCUGCCUCUCCGGGGGCCUCGUCCGCCAGAAGAUGAAGUACCUCCGCUUCCUCCGCAAGCGCAUGAACACCAAGCCAUCGCACGGCCCCAUCCACUUCCGCGCCCCCGCUAAGAUCCUCUGGCGCACCAUCCGAGGG
rnacentral:lncRNA from 1 species